CAGAGUAAAGGUAUUUUUCUUCCUCCUCGUCAUCCACGUCCUUGGUAAUUCCUUGGAUAAGCGUGUAACUGGAGGAAUUGGUCAAGUUUUUUCUGAUGAACUCUGGGCUGCCAGUUACGGCUUGCCAUGGUUUCGAUGAGCACCUGAAUCUUAUGAGGGUCUUUACAGGGAGUCUUGAAAAAAUUUCUUCAAUUAAUUCAUCUGGGAUCAUCAUGUCAGACAUCGUUCAAAGCUUGUUGCUUUCUCGGGUUAAAGAUGAUAAUCUUGAUUAGGGCAUCAAUGUUUCUACGAUUAUGCAUAUGAUCAAUAUAUACAUGGAUGAGCUAUAGAAAUAAGAAGACAAUAUGUGGUUCUAGGGACUAAAAAGGGAAAGAUUUUUAUGGUUUUUACAGAAUUUUGGAGUAUAUUAAGUGGCACCUAUACUGAUUAAGUACUAAUUGAUGUAAUUUUAGAUUUGUCAGCUUAUAUACAAAACUAACACUAACAUUAAGAGUGCAUGGAGAAACUAUAGAAAAAAUGGAUCAACUCUUGUGAUUGGGCUCGUUUCUCUUGCUGAUUUUAAGCCUAUGUUCUGAAUCUCCAAAAAAAAAAUACCGUAGUUUGAUCCAAUAGGGGAAUGGGUAAUGUCAGAUUUUGAGCUUGUAUUCUUGAUCUCCGAAAAAAUUACCGUAUUUUGUUCCAGCAAGGGAAUGGAUAAUGUACAGUUCCUGACAGUUCACAUAUAACAGGUACCAAUACCAUAAUAAAAUUAUUACGUAGUAUAUUAGUUCACAUACACAUAAAACUUGAAUGCUAUAUAUACUUUUUAUCGUUAAGAAUCAAACUUUUGAUAAAACUUAUAAAACCUAUGUGUAAAGCCAACUUAGUACAUAUUUUCCUUGGUUGCUGAGUGGUUAUGCUAGAUUCAUGAGUAAAAGAUUAUGUCUCAUAUUGAUUCGAGGGAUGGAGAAGCGUAAGUAAGGGUCUAAUACCUAAUUACUUAAACUUUUGGGUCAAAGUUGAACUCCUAACUUACAUUUUAGACUCUUUGGUGGACUUUCUCAAGAUAUUUCUCCUUAACAAGUGGUAUCAGAGCUUCUGGUUGUGAGUCUGGGUUACUCAUGGCCAAGUGGAUUCUUCUCAUAGUUGAAUUGGUGAAAAUUCUCUCCUUGGAAUUGGGCCGGUGAAAAUUCUUUUCUUGAUAGUGGACCAAAUUGUCAAGGAGUUUGGUUGAUGUUGGACUAGAUACACCAUGGGUUUGGCUAGGGUCCCAUUGGUCUAUGAUUCAGAGACAAUACGACCUUGGGUGUUGGUGGACCGAAAAGAGCUUCUAGUUGUGAGUUUGAACUACUCAUGGAAAAGUGAAUUCUUUUCGAAGUUAGUCCAGUGAAAAUUCUCUUCUUGACAUCAAAGUAUCAUGGGUUUGGUUGGAGGUUCGAUUGGUCUAUGAUUGGGAGAAGAGACGACCUUAGGUAUUGGUGGACAGAAGAGAGCUUCUAGUUGUGAGUUUGGACUACUCAUGGGAAAAUAGAUUAUUCUCGAAAUUGGACCGGUGAAAAUUUUCUUUUUGAUAAUAGACCAAAGUGUCAAGGAGUUUGGCUGAUUUUGGACCAAUGUGCAAUGAGUUUGGCUGGGGGUCCGAUUGGUCCAUGAUUGGGAGAAAAGAUAAUCUUUAAGUGUUAGUGUUGAACCAGAUGCGUCAUGAAUUUUUCGAGGGGUCCGGUUGGUCUAUGAUUGGGAGAAGAACUUGUAAAUUUCGUUAAAUAUGGAUUCAAUAUGAGGGGUUAAUCAUGAAAGGGUAGCUGGUGUUGGACUAGCUGGGUCAUGGAUUUGGCAGGAGGUCCGGUUGGUUCAUGAUUGGGAGAAGAGGUGACAUUAGGUAUUGGUGUUGAAUUAGAUGCGUCAUGGGUUUACCAGGGGUUCGAUUUAGUUGUUAAGGUGAACUUGUAUUAAAUAUUAAAAUGGGUUUGGAGAAGAGCUUGUAAUUUAUGAGUAAAAGAUUAUGUCCCACGUUGCUUCAAAAGAUGGAAAAAGAACGAUUAAUAUGUAAGAAUUGGAGACCUAAUAGCUUAAAUUUUUGGGUCAAAAUUGGGUUAUUGACUUACAUAUUGGACUCUUUAAAGGGAUCUCUCGAUGUGUUUUCACUAAUAGGUUAUCUUCUACUAAAUUUAAAAGCAUUGUCUCUUAAGGAAAGAAGAAUGUCUAAGUGCAAUAAUUAUUAGGGUGGAGUUGCAAUAUACAGUACAACUCCUUCAUAUGUACAUACACAUUAGUCGAGAAGGAAAUCCAUGCAAAACAAACUAAUAUAUUUCUUCUAAACACUAACAUAUUGUAAAGGAAAAAGUCACAAAGGAACCAAACACACCAAGAGACCUGCUUUGGCUUCAAAUGUCUAUUUAUUUAAUGUCAUGACCCUUGAGCUGUGUUUAGACUAAGUUGGAUCAGCCAAUACAAAAACCAACUAAUAAUAUGCAUCCAUCAAUAAACAUUUUACAAAACGCAAAAGUCAUAACAUUUUUUAUAAUAAUUAGAUUACAUUGUCAGAGAAUUAGUUCACAUCGAUACUCCAUAGCUAGAUAUAUUAAGAAAGCUUCUUAAUGUCCUCAUUCCCAGCAAUUUUGAAACUUUCUAAUGCAAGAGAACAUAUCUGCAAGUAAAAACUAGGUUAAACAUCGUUGAAGAUAUCAUAAAAGAGAAAUUUAUUUAAUUCACAACUGUAGAAUUUUGGAAAAAAAAAAAAAGGUCUUUCCAAAUCAGCAUCAUGAGUGAAUAAUAAGUGGGCCAGUAUCUACUUUGCUCUCACAAACAAAGAGGAUGGCUGCAAAAGAGCUUGAAUGAAGAAGAAACAUUUUUACCCCAAAAAAAAAUCGGAAGAAGAAACAUUUUAAGAGAGCAGAGCUAAGGAAGAAUGGUGGCCAACAAUAGGUGGUGCAGGCUGAAAAUUCAACUAUCACAUACAAGCUUAAGUCUCAUAACAGUGAAAAGUGCACUGCUAGUUCCGAUGCUUUUAAAGAGAUCUGAUAUCUUACUUCCUUGCCUAAUGUGUGCAAAAGGAGUAAAAGCUUUAGGUGAUAGCCAACUAAAUAUGUUGCAAACAUUAACAUAGAUGUUUGGACGUCUUACUUCCAUUGUGGUUAGCAUUGGUUGCACAAAAAGGACGAUAGGCCCUUGCUUCAUAUAAUGUAAAGCUAUAUAUAUAUAUUAACAUGGAUAUUGUUUGGACAUCUUACUUCCACUGUGGUAGCACAAGUUGCACAAAAGGACGAUAGACCCUUGCUUCAUAUAAUGUAAAGCUAUAUAUAUAUAUAUAGCAUGUAAAGGAAUGGAUCAAGUCCUUUUUCCAAGAUUUGUCCUCAAGUCAUAUAUAAUUAUGAAACAGAUGUAAUAUUUAAACACGAGAAUACAUGUACAAACUAACUUCUAUUCUUUAUUUCAAAGACUGAUAGAUAUUAAGCAAACUUAAUGCGAAUUGAUCUGAGACCAGUGUUAAGAUGCUAAUGAUGUUUCCAGCAAAGGAAAUAAUUGUUUCUGUUAUGUGUAAAAAGAAAAAUAAAGGUUUACUGAUUACUGCUAUGAAAAUGGGGCUGAAAAUGCAGGCUCUGUUUGGAUCGGCGAAUUUUUUAAAUACUAGUAGUUGUAGUCAAUAAACAACCUAUUAGUCAACAUAAUGUGCUCAAAGGUCUACAGUAAUACGACAUCGUUUGGGUGAGAUAUACGAAAACACCUGUUUCCAUUCUAUGAAAUGCAUUCGGCUAGCAGUUGUAUUUCGAACACUUUAGCUAUACCGUUGGAACCUCCUGCCCACUUUGGAGUAUUUCCCGUCGAUGUAAUUCGUUUGCCAUCACCACUUGUAACCUUUUGAGCUCUACCACCAUGUAGCAGCAUGAAACACUUCUCAGAAGCUUAGUAGUAAAUGAUAUCUCGGAUUCACUAGAGUUGAGCGACGCAUCUCCAGGGAAAUCAGCAGCAGCUAACACGGGGACGGAAAGGAGGUGGUCUGAAGAACGGUGCGUGUUUACAAAUUGUGCUCAAUUGGCUUUGUUCAAUACCUUGCUCAAUACAGCUCAAGUUUAGCAGAUCCCCAUUCGAUCUAUAGGAGGUAAUUAAUUUGGGAAUGUUGCCGUACAAAUUAGGGCUGAAUUUUGACAUUCAGUUUUUGGCUUUCUUUUAGAAUUUUGAGUACUGAGCUAUCACCUAUCAUACAUUAUCAAACUUUUACACAGAAGGCACUUGACAAUUUCGAUACAUGUUCAAUAUGCUAUCAGAGAAUCAGUAGCAACUUUAGAUAACAAUUUCAUAAAAUUGGUUGAGUUGUUGUUUCUAUUCUUGGACAUUUGGUUGUUUUUGUUUGGUUUUGAGGUUCAUACUUUAGUUCAUGUCAAGUUGUAGGCUUGUUUUUUCUUUUCUGUAGUCAGUCAAGCAGAUUCUCACUUUCUCUUCAAUUAUUCACGACAAUUGCUACAGUAAGAGUAUGGUAGCUUAUUAGUCACCAGUGUCUGUUUCUCUUCAAUGACUAGCUAAUGGAUUUUCUGUGGUGCUUGUUUGGCUUAUCUUGGUCCUGAACUCAAAGGUUAUGGACUACUUUAGCCAUGAAUCCAUUUUUACUUUGUCUUAGAACUGAUGCAAUUUGUUUCAAUUCCUACUUUUGUUACGGUGGAAGGAUAUUUGGAUGCACUAGACAUAGCAAAAAUUUUGUGACUGUUAUUAUUUGGUCAUUAAUGACUAGAUUAAGUGACAUUGGUGUGGAAGUUUAAAAUUGCAUGGAAAUGCUACCUUGUCUAUUAUGGAAAUCACAUUUAAUCUAUCUAAAUCCUAAAUAUUAGACUUUGUAGUGAAGAAGCUCAGAACAAAUAAUUAUAAGCUGUUUGAAUAUUUGUUGAGUAUGUAUUGUGAUGAAUGACAGCAUUCUCCCAGUGUGCUUGCCAUUUUUAUUCAAAAUACUUAGCUAUGUCACAAAAACUAUUUAAAAACUGUAGAGUUUUGGUCUACCUUAGCAGUAAUAUGACAGACCGGGCUUGAAUAUGAUGUUUUGCAAAGUUUGAGCUGUCUUCAUGCUAAUUCGACUUCAUGGCAUUCCAUUUGCUUAACGUUGCUGAUUAUACCCUAAGCUUUGAGGAAAACAAAAGCCUAGUUAUGGCAUAUAACCUUGGUGCAAAUGUUACAUUGUUACCUUGACUUACAUUUACAGCUGUUUGCUGUUCGAAUUGCUGUUACGCCUAAAUUCCUGGUCCUGUAUAGUUACAUGUCAGGGCUGCUUAGCAAAAAUUGCUGUUAGGGAAUCGUUUAUGGCACCUGAAGAAUGUUUAUUGGUUUAUGUUCUUGCUUAUGCUUUUGUUUCUGAUUCUGCUGUCAAUUUGGUGUCUUCACCUCACAUUCUUCAAGCUGCCUUUUAUGUUCUAGUGGCUAUAACAAUCUAGAACCUUGCAACGCGUUCAUAUGCACCAUUUAGGGGUUAUAUAUCAAUUUAGCUCUUGUUUUAAAAGUGUUAAACUGCUCGUUAUUGUGCCUCUAAAAGCACUCAACAAAGCAUUUGGUAUAUUGAUUUGGUAACUGAGCAAUUUGUUGUGCUUUUUUGGCUGUGUAAAUCUGCUUUAUUAAGGCACACCUAAAUCACCGUUAUGGUUCAAUCACAAUUUCUGUUUAAUUAUGGCUGCAAGCGUAACUGUUGUGCAUUUGGCUGUUGACCAAAAGCUUCCAGGAUUCUUGCUCUUUCUGACCUUUUUUUUUUUAAUAUUCUUCAAUCUCAAACAUGCUCACUUGAUCAGCCUAUAUUUUCAUACAUUGAAUGCCUCACAUAUUUCAUGUUAGGAGGAUUAGGGAAUCAACUUUGCUACUUAACUUGGCUUUGAGAUCGCCGAUUUGUUUGAUCCACCCUGGAGGUAUCCUAGUACAACUAUAUGCCCCCUUUGACUUGGCGUGCUUGGAAGGGUAUCAACUAAGUGCAGCUUGUCUAAUUUUUAGAUGCAUUUUCAUAGAUUUGCCAACUUUAUCACAGCUUUGCAAAGAAGUAGGGGAUUCAGUACUUGUUCGUCAAAAUCAGCUCAGGGAGAAAAUGAUCUUCAACUUUGCCUCACCAACUACUUCAAGGUGAGUUAUCGACAAGAUCCUACACUUAAUCAAUAAGUCAAGGUUGCCUUCGAUCAUGAUAUAGAUGAAUGGCACUUCACCCUCUGUUGUUGUUUUUUUUUGCGUCACCUCUAUUUUUUAUUUUGCCAUCCAAAAGAAAAAAAAAAUGAGUCAAUCGAAAGCGAAGUAUAUGGAACGUAAUAGUUUCACCCCGGAACAAGAAAUUGCAUUUGCCUAAUACCUUGUCCAAAUGCAUAGGAACGGAGAAAUUGUGUUUGUGAGGCACCGGGGGUUCCUACCCCAGUAUAGACGCUCACGACAUCCAUUUUAUCUUUUUUAGCCUUAUGAGAUGACAUCUUAUUUAUGUUGGUUCAUUUUCCCGUGGAUAUUAUUUGAGGCUUGCUUAGGCAUUUAAGUAGUAUGAGUUUGUGCACUUAAAAAAUGCUUAUGCCACUGUAUCACGGAACAAUUUUAUUAGUUUCUUCCAUUUUUUCGUAGUUGUGAUAUGAAAGAAUGUUGCCACGGUUGGAUGUUCCAUUUAUCCUUAGCUACCACAUAUCCCCAUUGGAUAACUCUACAGUUAAACUAGUUAGCUUGACUGUGCAUUUGGAUGGACUUGGACUUGAAUACUUGUUUUGAAUGCAUUUGAGUUCAGUAUAACUAGUUAAUAUGUUUAUUGUCAUCUGUUGUCGAAUCACUCAUAUCCGAUAUUAUAUGGCAUAACUUUAAUAUUGGUCCAAAUUUGUCUUCUAGAUUACAGGUUGUCCGAAUAAUCUUUUUUUCUUGAAAUAUGAAAUUGGCCUCAUGUUCUUGAGUAUUCUUGCUUUUAUAAAUAUGGACAUUUUUUUAUGUAUAAAGUGGUGGCUUCUAGGGAUGCAGCAGGUUUGACAACUUUUUUUUCUGUAUUUGGGACAUUAAUGUGCAGGGAAUCGACCGGGAGUUGUAGAGAUAGCUGGUGCCAACUUCAUGGAUAACGACAUCCACAUUUAGGGUGGUCAACUGGACGAUGAGAGAGAUGGUAUCGAUCUAGACCAGAUACUUAUGGCGGUUGUGCCAUUCGGCAUGAUUUUUUUGACCCAUUCAUUAAUCCUACCCCUAGAAAAAGAAGAGUUCGUGAUAGUGCACUCUCCGGCAGGGAUUACGUGCUUGAGCUGAUAAACAGCCACCGAGAUAGAAUUAUCGAGAACAUGCGCAUGGAUGUUCCCCUUUUCCUGCACCUGUGCGAUCUAUUGGUUGAGCGUGGUUACUGGCAUGCCUAUCCUUCUCAGAGAGUUGGGAUUCAUGAGUCCAUUGCUUUAACGCUAAUGCGCUUGACCAUGAUGAGUGGCAUCGGAUUCUAGCUGAUUGCUUCCAGCAUUCAAUGGAGACAAUUGAUCAACAUGUACAUCGUGUCCUGCGAGCAUUGGUGCGACUUGAUCGUGAUCUCGUUAGGCCAAGAAAUUUCAAUGACACGCACCCUAGAAUUAUAAAUAAUCAAUUGUUUUGGCCGUGGUUCAAGGUAAAUAACUACGAAAUGGUAUACAUCUUUAACAAUUUCGAAAUUCGUUUAGAAGAUCCUAACUAUGUCAAUUUGCUAAUAGAAUUGUGUUGGAGUCUUAGAUGGAACCCACGUCUCGGCUUGGGUGAGAGCAGAGAUACAAGAGAGGUACAGAAAUAGGUACAGUGGGUUAUCUCAAAAUGUUCUAGCGGUUUGCGAUCAUGACAUGCGAUUUGUUUAUGUUCGAGUCGGUUACGAGGGCAGUACCCACGAUGCUAGAAUUCUCCGAAACACCUUGCUUGAUCUAAAUUUAGGGUUUCCAAUGGCACCUGAAGGUAUGCCACCCUACUGCUAUUUUUCAUAUGUUGAAGGAAACAACUUCACCCUAUGUGGAAUUAAUUGUGUUGCCUGGAUUGCUUCGGCUCAGUUAUGUAGUUAUGUACAUUUAACUUAUAACACUGACUCUAAUCUUAUUUCAUGGUUGCUUAGGAAAAUAUUAUGCGGGGGAUACUGCAUACACUAACAUGCCUAGGUUUAUGGCACCUUUUAGGGGUGCUCGUGGCACACAGCAUGAGCGAGCAGUUAAACUUUGUUCAAUCGGCGGCAUGCUUCACUUAGAAAUAUUAUUGAACGAACUUUUUGAAUUCUUAAGAAGCGAUUUCCAAUAUUCAAAGGUCCAAUGCAGAACUAUCUAAUAGCAACUCAAAACAACAUUGUGCUUGCAUGUUGUACGCUGCACAACUUCAUCCGAGAUAAUAUGCCCAAUGAUAUGUACUUCAACGAAGAAGCAGCCCUCGGUGCCUUAGCAGAUGCACAGGAUGCAGGGAAUGAAGUUCAGGGAGGUCAAAAUUUCGAUUUUUCACAGUAGGGCAUAGACAACUGGAACGAAGAUCAGCAGGCAAUAGCGGCUCACAUGUAUCUCAAUUCACACAAGUAGCAAUUCGCCAUUGGACUAGCUACUAAUUGUUAGCUACUAGGACAUUUAACAUGCUCAUUCUAUCAUCCGUUAUAUUCCUUUGAGAUACUUUAGUUCAUAUGAUAUUUGGUUGUGUAUGGGAUCAAUUAUUUGGACGCUCUCUAGAUUAUUUCCUUUUCACAUUUCAAUUUGACGUUGGUAGCAACUCUUGAAUUAAAGUUCGCUUCAAUUGUUAUGGUACUAAUCUAUCCAUUUUUACGAAUGAUCUGACCAUUUAUCUAAAAGUCACAUAUCCUUUUUUGAAUACUAAGCAUGCAAUGGCUAAACAGGGGUAUAUUUAUACAUGCAUGGCAGGUAUGUUCAAGCCAAUAUCAUCUGUAAAUUAAUGCCCAACUACAACGCCAAUUUCCAUGAUUCGAGGGUAGAAAUUAAUUUACCGGCGAAUGCAUUUUAUGGAAUAUCAAAGUGUAGUUGUUUUUGAAAUAUAGAUCAAUCCAACCGUAGAAGUUUUUCAAAAACAAUGAGUUUUUGAAAAACAACCUAUCCAAAUGACAUCAACAAUAUUUGAAAAAAUGCUACAGUAAAAUUUUUCGAAAACACCCUAAAAAAUAGCCAAUCCAAAUGGAGCCGCAGUUUUACCCAAAAAAAUAAAAAUCUAGCUCUCGCGAUUCAAAAAUGCAGCAGGUCUAAAGCUUUUUUGGAUAAUUUCAAAAACCUCUCCUAAGGUUUAUAACAAUUUCAUUUAACUUUUCUAAUGUUUCAAAAAUUACACCUAUUUCCCCUGCUAAUUUAAAAUGAUAAUACUAAUCUUAAUAUUUUAAUAAAAUUUCCUUGUUGCCAUCUUUAUACAAAUGACGGAUUUUAUAAUUUGUUUCCUAUUCCCUUCUAUUUCAUUUCUCUUAUAUUUCAUUAGAAAUAUAGAAGAACUAUCAAUAUUGUCCCAAACCUCCAUCUUGAUCAAAUUUAAAUUAGUAAUAUUUUUUAUAGCUUUUAAUAUCAUUUAAUUUUUUUUGCAACUCUUUUUUAUAUCAAAAUUAAGAAUAAAUCAACAAUAAUUAAAAACAGUGGAUCAACAUCACUACCAAACCAUGAUAGUUCCAUCAUUGAACUAGUCCAUAAACUUUUCAUCAAAAAAAAAGUCCACAAGUUAAAAAAAAAAGAUAUCAGCUUUUUCUCUAUCUAAAAAUAAAAAAAUCUAUAUCCCCAAUAAAUAGGGAUGGCAACGGGGCGGGGUUGGGGCGGGGGACCCCUCCCCCAUCCCCCGCCCCGCUGCCUACAAACUCCCCCCGCCCCCAUCCCUCGCUCCCCCCGCCCCGCUUUCCCCGCGGGUGUCCCCACGGGGCUAAUAAAAAAUUGUUAUAUAAUUUUAUUAUGGUUAAAUUUUAGCAAAUAAUCAAGUACUAAAAUAUCAACACAUCAUCAAAUUAUUAUUCAUUGUAAUUUUAUAAUUGAAACUUAUAAAAACAUCAAAUAAAAAUUAUUUGAAUACAAUCCAACAUGAUGAAAUAAAUAUAACUAAAGUAGUCAAGUUUUCACUUUUGGCACAAAUACAAUCACUAAUUCAUUAUUGUGCUUGUGCUUUUUUUAAGAAAAAAAUGUUAUUGUAUUAAGUGUAAUUAGGGAUUUAGUAUAAAUGUAUUAGUAAAUUUAGUAUAACCAAUUAAUAAUUUGUAUUAGUACACAUAUAUAAUUAUUAGUAUAAUUAAUAAUAUCAAUUAUAUUAUAUAUACUAAUAGACAUUAUAUAAUACAUAUAACUAAUAAUAUCAUUAUCAUAAGUUUGUAACUAAUUAAAUUAUAUAUUAUAUAUAUAAUUAUAUACAUAUAUAUUUAUUUUUUUAAAGCGGGUGGCGGGGCGGGGGUACACUUCUCCCCCCCCGCCCCGUUUCUAAGCGGGGGGAAAAAAAUUCCCCCUGUCCCCACCCUACCCCCCGGCCCAGCCGCCUCCCCAUUAGCCCCCCGCGGGGCGGGUGACCGCGUUGCCAUCCCUACCAAUAAAUAGGGAUGGCAAUGGGGGCGGGUGCCCGCUGGGGGCUCUCGGGGCGGGGGUUGGUUUCCCCCCGCUUAGAAACGGGGCUGGGGGCGGGGGAGUAUACCCCCGCCCCAUCCCCCGCCCCGCCACCCGCAAAAAAAAAAAAUAUAUAUAUAUAUAUAUAUAUAUAAAUAUAUAUAAUAUGUAAGUUAAUUAGUUAUAAACUUAUGAUAAUGAUAUUAUUAGUUAGAUGUAUUAUAUAAUGUAUAUUAGUUUAUGUAAUAUAAUUGAUAUUAACAAUUAUAUGAAUAAUUAUGCAUGUCUACUAAUAAAAUUUAUUAAUUAGUUAUACUAAAUUUACUAAUACAUUUAUACUAAAUUUCUAAUUACACUUAAUAGAAUAAUACUUUUUUCUCAAAAAAAAGCACAAACACAAUAAAGAAUUAGUGAUUGCAUUUGUACUAAAAAUGAAAACUUGACUAUUUUAGUUAUAUUUAUUUCAUCAUAUUGGAUUGUAUUCAAAUAACUUCUGUUUGAUUGUUUUUAUGAGUUUCAAUUGUAAAAUUACAAUGAAUAAUAAUUUGGUGAUGUGUUGAUAUUUUAGUACUUGAUUAUUUAAUAAAAUUUAAUUAUAAUAAAAUUUUAUUAACCCCGCGGGUGCGCCCGCGGGGGAAGCGGGGCAAGGCGUGGGGAGCAGGAAACGGGGGACGGGGUGGGGGACGGGGGGAACUAAUAGGCUCCCCUGCCCCAACCCUGCCCCGUUGCCAUCCCUACCAAUAAAGUACUAGGAUAUUCAUUAAAUUUUUGACCCUAUUUUAAGGUUUGGUUACCAAAAGUGUCAAAUUAAGGGUAAUUUUUUUUUUUUUGUAUAAUUUUUAAAACUUUGAGAUAACUAAGUGAAACAGUCAUAGUCAGAUGCCUCAGGUGAAGUUUCUGAAAUUUUGGCGGGCUUUUUAUGGCGGGCUUAAACCUUAGUCACACUGCACUCCCCUUCUUCAUUUACUUCUGUGGUUCCACCGUCCCGUCGAUCUUCUGUGGUUUUCCGAACAAACGCCACCGCCGCACGUAGCCCUCCUCCCCUGCUCCUCAUCUGCUGACCCUCUCUACCCAGCACGCCAGUCCUCCAUCGGAAAUUACCUCCGCCAUUCUCCUCUUCCUCGGAUCGUCUCAGCCACUCCACCUCCUCUGCCGCCGUCGUUGUCUUCCUCCGUCUCAGCUCGUCAUUUGCCUCCAAUGUCUCUCCAAAAUAAUUAAUUUUUUUGAAUUUUUUCUGUAACUUUUGAGUUUUUUUUUUUUUUGACUUUUUAGUAGGUGGGAGUUUCAAUGGUUAAGAUUGUCUUGCUGAUUCUAUUAUCCCUCACUUCAGAAACUCUAUUCUUGAUCGCCCAAAAACUUUGAACUUUUGGUUCAAAUUCUCUUUUGCCCUUUCAUUUCUUAGUUCUCACCCUUCCUCUGUUAGAUUUUUUUUUUUUAAAGUUCACAUUCUUGAUCAUAUAUGGUAAUGGGUUUUGGUUGAAUGGAAUCCUAGUAAGCUAAUUAUUAUCACUAAUUUGACCACUAUUACUCUUUACUAAAUUAUUUCUUGUGCUUUUGAUGGAAGGAUUUAGUAUCUAACUGUAAAUCUUUCAAAAGUAAGAAAUAUUGGUGGAAUUAGAGGAAUAUCGUACUUGACCAAUUUUGAAUAUAGUGACAUAUGAUUAAGGUUUAUGAAUUGGAACAUAACUUGAAAAAGUUGUCUUACUUGGGGACUUUGGAGUAAAUGCCCAAAUUCAACAUGAAUUUAUAGAAGGGCACCAAUUUCUCACUAGCAAUAUUGAAAAAGGUUGCCACCAUAUUUCAAUUUCACGAAUUAGGUGUUCACUAAAUGAAUGUUGAUAUAGUAUACUUAGAUCAAAAUGCAGUUUGUAUAAACCAUACAGGGAUGUACUUAGACAAUGUGCAAUUGACAGGUGAUACAAUCAAAAUAAAUUUCUUUUUUCAACAAAAGAAAACAAUUUGCUUUUUUUUUUGGUUGUUGACAAACGAUUUGUUUAACAAUUUAUUUUAAGUGCAUAUUUUAAUCUAUUCAUUAUCUCUUCCAUAUAAAUAAUCUAUAUGCUUCAUGGUGUUAUUUUGUACUUUAACUUCCUUUGGAACAGUAGUUUUGAUUGGAGACAAACUUUAGUACUUGACAAAGGUAGGUGAUUAUUUAAUUUGUAAAACUACUGACAUUAUAAAUUCGUAUUGAGACCAAACAUUGAUGACACCUGUUGAUUGUUGUUUAUCACUUAUUGCUUUAUUACAAUACUUAUACAUUGGAUCAAUAUCAUGACCAUGAUGACUUAUCAAAAGAUCAUAUUGAGACCAUGAUGUGUUUUAUUGCAAAGUUGUGCAUGUGAACUAACACAAACAUAUACAAGCCAACAACUUUGGAAUCUGACUAUUGCUACUUCACAGAUUUGGUAGGUAGAUUUUCAAAAAGACAAUACACUGGUGGCCAUUCAAAGUGAUAAUUUUAUAUAACAAUAUCAAAAUAUGGUCUCAUAGCCUUGUGAGAAUUUAAACCCCAGGUACAAAAUUUGGGUUUAACAGAGUUUAAGAGUUUGCUAAGGUUAUCUAAUAGCCUUGUAACUCUCAAAGAACGUAACUUAUUUUUGGGGAUUGGUUGGGUAUUUUGUUUUUGGGCUUUGGAACGAAGUUUAGGUUCUGCUUGGAGAAUUAUAAACUACUUUUACUGGGAAUGAUUUGCUCUUGUUCUGUUGUAUGAUUAAUCUGUUUCAACCAGAGAUGGCAUGCCUGAUUAAUAUAUAUUUGUUUGCCUGUGCAGGUUGCAAAUGAAUUAGUAGCUGAAUUUGCAAAUCCUAACAAUAGUCUUUCAUCUGUAGAUCAGGUUUGUCGAUUUGUUCUUUUUUUUUUUUUUAUCAUUACAUGCUUUCAGUUUCUGCAAUUUCUAGUACCUAACACAGAUGAUAAACAUGAAAGGUUCUAAAUUUUGUAACCUUCCAUCUAUGAUUGAAAUUUAACAUGGCUUAUGCUUUUUGUUCAUUUGAAGUUGCAUAGAAAUAUCAAACAGCAGCUCAAUAAAGCCAAAAGGAUAAGAAACAAGUAUUGGUUCUGUCCACCGUUAAAGAUUUGAUAAAUGAGCAAUUAUUACCAACUACCUUUGGAUAAAAUGAAGCAAAGCAACUAUCUGUCUUGGAUGAAAUAAACUAUUUGAGUCUACUAAUUUUGGAGUACUCAACUAACCUGCUCAUUUGCUGCUUGGCAGAAGGAAACUACAUAAAUGAUUUUUUAAUAAUAGUUACUUGUGGUAAUUUAUGCUAUUUAAAAUAUUUUUUAUCUUACAUUCACUGAUUAAAUGUCAAUUAUCAGGAUAUGUUAACCAUGUCCUCGCAGCGUCCCAUAGUAGUCCUACUAUAUUGGGGAGGCAAAAUUAUUUUGUCUGGAGAAUCUAUAGCGUAUGAUCCUCCGAUUUGCCAAAAAGUUCUCAUACUGAAUGAACGAAUAGGUUAUGAUGAGUUGGUUAAUAGGAUCUAUAAUGCCAUGAAACUGGACCGAGAUAAAUUUAGAGUCCACUUGACAUUUAGAAACAGAGUAGAAUAUGGCAAUGGCUUUGCCAUAUUUUUUGGUAUGCCACUGAUGAAUGACAAAGGAGUUGAUGUAUUCUACUACCUGAAAAGUUCAACACCAGAAUAUGCAGCUGAGAUUUACAUUGAUGUUGAGGACCAACAGCAUGUUGACCAGACAAACAUACAGUUGGCCCUAAAUACAUAUGCACAAUUGAACUCCUCGAAUAUUGCAUCCCAACUGGUCCAACCCUUUGUAGGUGGUACAGGAGGCAAAUAUGCUGCCCAAUUUGCACCAUCAAUCAGUGCGGCCCCUCUAGCAUCUAAUGUGAAUCGUAAUAGAAGUAGUGGGCGCUACAAUGAGAGCCAUACCAUCCAGAGGCACUUGUCUUGGUUGACUAAGCUUGCAGAAAAUCAGCACUCGGAACUACCUACAUUCUCUGCUCCCUCCACAGGUGAGCCUAUUGAUCUGAUAAUUGAUGAAGUAGAUUCUGAACCGGAACCAAGUGAUGAUGAUUCUGGUGAUGAUAACCUUGCCAAUGAUGGAUCGGGCUAUGCCAGGGAUGGUCAAGCAAAUGAUCAUAUAGCAUGUGAUGAAGGUUCACCUUGGCCCUCUAAUGUGACAACAUCACUUCAGGAUGAUGCCAGUGUUAAUGCAACAUUGCCGUUUGAUGGGGGAAAUGGAGGUCAUGCAGAGCACUUGAAUGUGUGGAACGAGCAUACCAUGGACCUACGGUUGGGGAUGUUAUUUGACAGCAAGAAGCAUGUUUCUAGAGCUGUGAAAUUAUGGUCAAUCAAGCAAAAUAGAGAAUAUGAAGUUUGUGAGAGCAAACAAAAUACGUGGUUUGUAAAGUGUAAGAACCGAAGCUCCCACCCACCUUGCAAUUGGCAGUUAAGGGCAACUCUGUGGCAUACUCAGAUGAUGUGGAUGAUUGUUUCUUUUGUCAAGAGCCACACUUGUGUUCGAGUCUCCAACAGCAUUGACCAUACGCAGUUAUGUUCUAAUAUAGUAGUCGAGUAUAUCAUGCAUCACCUUAAGAGUUGUCCUAUUUACGGUAUUAAAGAAAUUCAGGCAGCAAUUAAGGAAAUGUUUCACAUUGAUAUUUCAUAUAGGAAGGCAUGGUAUGCUCGGCGUAGGGCUAUUGAUCUGGUGUACGGUGAUUGGCCAACAUCCGUUUCUCAACUGCCUAAAUACAUGAAGGAAUUAGUUGCAACCAAUCCAGGUACUGCUGUAGUGUGGAUGCAUCACCCUCAUAGCCAUGAUGGGAAUUUCAUAUUUGACUAUGUAUUUUGGGCUUUUGCUCCUGCUAUUCAAGCAUUUCCACAUCUAAAGCCAGUUGUAUGUGUUGAUGGGACUUUUAUGAAGGGCCCAUACAAAGCCAAGUUACUUACAGCCGUUGGAAUUGAUGCCAAUAAUCAUCACCUACCUCUCGCUUUUGCAUUGGUCGAUGAAGAAAGUAAUCGAAGCUGGAAAUGGUUUAUGAGACAGCUUUGAGUUCAUGUAUGUCAUGAUAUACAGGGGAUUUGUGUCAUAUCAAAUUGUCACAAAGGCAUCAUAAAUGCCAUGAAGACGCUAGAUGAUUGAAGGGAACCAGUGGCAAUGCAUCGUUUUUGUUUGGAUCAUGUGCUGAGCGAGUUCACCCAAAAAUUCAAAAACCAUAGGUAUUAAUUUUGCAUUGCACUUUUUCUAUUCCAUUAUUUAAAAAUGCAUCUUCAUAUGCUUUUUGAUGUCAUGUUGAAAUUGUCUAGAUUGAAGAAUCUGUGCUGGCUUGCUGGAUAUGCCCGACAAGAAUAUAAGUUCGACAAAUUCAUGAAUCAAAUAUGGGAACUGAAUCCCAAAGCCCAUGAAUGGUUGAUGAAAAAGGCAGUCGAACCCAGCCAGUGGGCACUGUCCAAAGAUGGCGGAUACCGAUGGGGCAUCACAUCAACAAACAUGGCAGAAUACUUCAACAAUGCCUUUAGGGAUGCUCGUUACUUGCCGAUAAAGGCAUGUGUUGAGUUUACAUUCAAUCAGACCAUGGAACUGUUUUUGGAGAGUCGAAAAUUGCUAAGUGAUUGCCGAUACCCUCUGCCAAAGUAUUCUUGGGACAAGUAUGUCGCCAAUCAACAUAAAGCAAGAGGGCAUGAAGUGCAGAUUUUCCACGAGGCCAAUGGCUUUUACACGGUUGUCACAGGUCGUCGUCCAAAUAAAAGAGGAGGAAAUCCACACUAUGUCAAUUUUCGACUGGGCACAUGCAGUUGUCAGAAGUGGAAAGAAUUACGAUUUCCUUGUUCUCAUGUGAUAGCUACGUACUAUAGUUUAAGUAUGAAUCCAACAAAGCUGAUUGGAGAAGUGCACACGUUGGAUGCAUAUGUGCAGACCUAUUCGGGUAAAUUUCAACCUUUAAGGCAUCCUAGAUAUUGGGCAGUUGUAGAUUGCAAUUUUACUAUACUGUCCGCUAGAUUGGCAAAGAAGUGACUAACUAGAGUUAGAACUGCAAAGAUGCACCAAAAAAAAAAAAAAAAAUGGACAGCCGUUGUCCAGAUGCACCAAGGCGAUGCAGUCAUUAUUUUGCUGCUGGUCACUAUGUUUCGAACUAUCCAUUUUGACUCAUAGGGAUUAUUAAAGGGUGCCAGACAUGAGUCUUUUUAACUCGAAGUUUAUACAUGGUCAUUUCUGUUUAUAUGUAGUUGGCUGACUUUCUUUCAUUUGUCCACGGAUCAUGUAUUUUGCUUUCUAAUUUAGAACUUUCAUCAGUCGAUGUUGCUCAUACCUCGGGGCUAAGUUAUUAUGUGUUUACGUAUGGCCAUUCCACAGUCCACACUAAUAUUCAAUGUUUGCUGUCAUGAUGUCAUUUUUAAUUGUAUGAUGUUGAAUGUUUUGUUGGACAGGUUUGUAUCUUUGAGGUAUUGAUUUAAAACCAAACGAAACUCUGCCUUUUUUUGAGUGGAAAUUAAGACAAUCAAUUUUAUAUUUUGCGUGGCAUGAUUGUGGUACUUUACUGUAUAUCAAUGUUGUGUGCAUCAUAUCCACUGUUAUCAUAUAAAUUGGGCAAAUUUCACUUUACCUCUCUGUGGUUUAAUAUUUUUUUUAUAUAAACCUCCUACGAUUUUAAAAGUUAUACAUAACCUUAUCAUGGUUUGGAUUAAAGUAUUAAAUUGACGGAAAUGAUCAUUUGUAACGGAUUCACCUAAAAUGUCAAAAAUAUCUUUAUAUGAAGUUGAAAAUUAUUUAUUAAUCAAGGGGGGUUAUGUGUAUAUUUUAAAAAUUAUAAGGGGUUAUAUGGUAAAAUAUAAAAAUCAUACGGUAUUAGUGUGUUAUGUAUUUAUAAGGGUACUUUCGACAUUUUUAAAAGUUUCGUUACGAAUGACUAUUUUCAUCACUUUAAUAUUUUAAUUCAAAUCAUGAGAGAGUUAUGUAUAACUUUUAAAACGCUAUAGGAGUUAUGUAGAAAAACACUAAACUACGAGGGAUAAAGUGGAAUUUGCCCUAUAAAAUUAGCUUUGUUAAUUUUCCAUAUGCCAGCAGGCCAUUGUAUUUUCAGAUUUUGUUUGGUUUUAAAGGUAGUUUGUCUUUUCCAAAUGACUGACAUAGACAACCAUCCAAGUUUAACAAAGUUAUUUUCGCCUUACAACAAUGCUCAAGUUAAAUACAAAAACUAUAGGUGCCGGCCUCUUCAGAAGUUUGUUUUAUGUCAAGUCGGUUUAUCUUACUCUUACUUCUAUUUUCAUAUUUUGACAACAGACUUUUCUCCUUACUAUUAGAGAUGGAAGUCAAGCUUUAUUAAAAUACUUGCAAUUAUACGAAAAAUGAGCAAAUUUUUAAUUAGGGAAUUGGCUAAUCAUAAAUCUGUCCAUUUUACUUAUUAACAAGAAGAAAAAGAAAGAUCUGCAUGAUAUAUAUACAUUCCCUAAAACAACAAAAGGGGAAAAAAAACACAUCUUUAUAAGCCCUUAAUAUGGAUUUUUCUCCCAAAAAUUAAAAUAGGGUUAGUAAAUUUUGUUUAAUAACCAAAAUUGGUAUUAGUGAUCAAUAGAGGAGAAGUGAUUUAGUUGACUAUUAAAGAAAACAGGAAGCCUCUCUAGUUUGCUUGAAUGGCGAGGCAAUUUUGGUGAACCAAAACAAGUUUUAAUGGAGGAAAUAAGAGAAAAACGAAAGAAAGUUAUAUCUAAACUUUUUGCUAUAUUUUAUGAUGAGUCUAGCAUACUUUCUCAUUUAGUCAUGCUAUAAUAUAUCCUUUUGAAAAGUUGUAGUGUUUUAUCUCAGCAGAUUACAAUGCAAAUUUUUUGUCCAUGAAGAAGCAAACUUCUAUAUAAAGUGGGCAUGUUAAUCAAGUUUAGCAUGCCAAAGUAGGAGUAAAAAUGGGUCGAUUAAUUCUCUUCUGGGCUGCCUUAAUGGGGUUGUUUCUCCUCUUCUCAGUUUCUAGAUCAGAAACAGAAGAAGUAAGGCAAGCCUUAGUCAGAUUCAUGAUCCAAAUUUCUCCUGGAAACAUCAACAGGGGUGCAAACUGGGGCUGGAAUUUAACCUCAGACCCCUGCAUUUGGCAAGGAGUUGUUUGCAACGCAAUGUCGAAGAGUGUCAUAAUUAUACAUCUAGACAAACUCAAUCUCAGCGGAGUUCUUGAUGCUAAUUCUCUCUGUGUAGCAAAAUCACUAGCUCUCUUGAGCCUGAAUCACAACCAAAUCGUCGGAAAUUUACCUGAAGGGAUAUCAAACUGUAGCCAACUAAGGCGCCUAUUCAUAAGAGGAAACAAUUUCUCAGGUAUCCUUCCAGGUUCCCUUUCCAAAUUAAGCAAGUUAAUAAUGCUUGAUAUCUCAAGCAAUGUCUUCUCUGGGGAGCUACCUGAUUUGCCGCGAAUCUCAGGCCUAGUUGGCUUUCUUGCUGAUAACAAUGAUCUAAGUGGAAGAAUUCCUGAGUUUAACUACUUGAAUCUUCGAGCAUUCAAUGUCUCGUACAACAAUUUUAGCGGUCCAAUUCCUGAUGUCCAUGGCCAUUUCAAUGCAAGCAGCUUUUCAGGUAAUCCUGGAUUAUGUGGAAAGCCACUGCAAACGCCUUGCCCAAGCCCUCCUCCAUCUUGAUGAGGAACACCUGAUUUGAGUUCUUUACCAUGCAUUUUUGGCGAAUUAGUUCUUGAAGAAAUUUGUUAACUUUUCUCUUGGACUAAUGCCUUUGGCAUGCAGCACGGUUAAAGAUCACUAUGGUUAUUCUUGAUUUGAUCUUUUUAGCCAUUAAUUCAUACAACAAUAUUGAAACCUUCUAUGCAAGGUGCUUGGAGUUUUCAAAUAUAUGAUUGUUACAUCCUUCAAGUAUGAUAAACAAGCAUGUGGAUGGACAAAGUCCCGUUACCAAAAUUUGUCCUCAAGUCAUACAAUUUUAAGAUUAUUUAAACAUGAAACAUCAUGAAUUAAAGUUCUAUUCUUUGGUCUUAAUUGAGAAAGCACAUCCAGAUGUUACUCUUUAUCAUUAUUAUAAGGUGGCACUAUGAUUUUCAUAAAUCUUGCACCUCUGCCCGGUUUUCUAUUGAAUGGAGCGCCUGAUUUCAGCUAUAUCAUUAGUGUUGUAUCAGCAGCCUUUUGGGGUUCGACACUCCCUUGUUUUCAGUCUUUCAUAUGAGUUGUCAAAAAAUACAUACAAUGAUGAUCAGAUUCUUUCACCCAAUUUCAAAUGAGUAAUUACCAAAAUAUAAGAAGUAGAUGAACUAUUGCAUCAUUAUAUAGACUAAUUUUCACGCUCAAGUAGGCUUGAAUUUAUCAGCACUUCCUAUGUAGACGUACUAUCCCUGUAACUUUUGUUGCUUGAUGAUCAGUGGUAGAGCCAGAAAAAAAAUUCUCAGUGGGGGCAAAAACAAUUUCAAAAUUUUUUACCUACUCUUUUUAUAGUUUUUUAAGCAAAAAAUAAAAUGAAAUGAAAUUCACCAACAACUAUAAAUGAUGCAUAUAUUCCAUGAAAAGCAUAAAAAAACUCAAAAUUAUUAAUGUAAUAAUAAUUUUAUUUCAAAAAGCAGACUAAACCAUUUACAAUUGCUCACGACAAGUUUUCAUAUUUUGAUAACGGUUUACAACCUUCUCAUUUUAAAUUUCAAGAAGUAUAUUUUUUUCAAUAUAAGUAAUUAAAUAAUCAUUCAUCCAAGUAUCUCCCAUUCUAUUUCGUAACCGAUUUUUCACUAUAUUUAUAACUGAAAAAGCCCUCUUUAUGGUAGCUGUAACAACAAGUAAAAUCAAAGAUAACUUUAGGAACAUAUAAACUACUAAUGGAUAUACAAAACUUCAAGGGACACAAUUGAAAUUAUAUCAAAACUUUAUGAGUACUGUAGAGAUUUAAAGAGCCCCUGGUGAUCCUUUUGUCAUUGAUUGAAUAAAAUUAACUUGCUUACCUAAGAAAAGUCAGAUGGGAUUGUUUUCAUUCCAUGCAAUAGGAAAUGCUAUUAACUAGAAUGGAUCCCAGAGUUUCUUAUUAUUCGUGAUAUGUUUGUUACAUUUUGGGGGUGUUACUUUUCUUGUAUUUCCAUCUCAGAAGCCUUUGUGUUAUUUUUGUUUGUUAAACUAAAGAUUCUUACAAUUGUGGGAUCACUAUAGUUUCAUCUGUUCCCAUUGGUACCUAUCACUGUUGGAAAUGACCAUAUUGGGAAUUUGCUCAAACCAGAAAAUAUUAACAUGUGCAACUAAAACAAUAAUGUUACAAAGACCAUAUGGUCUUGAGUGUAAGAUUUGGUUCCGCUGAAGCGUCAAACUAGUUAGAUAUUAACAUGUGCACUUGGAUUGCUUGUUUUCGUCGGAAAAUAUUGUCGUUUUCCGUGAUCACAUUUCCCUAUCACCUUUUUUCCUCACAUAUAUCAAAUCGCUACAGUAAUUUUUCCAUGAAAAAUGACGGAAAAUGCAAUCCAAACACAACCUAAGUUUGAAUACGAAUUCAGUAUGUUAAGAUUUAUCCAAUCAUAUGUCAGGUACUCGAAAACUCUGCUUUAAUGAAGAACAAAAACACCUGGUUUGAAAGAUGAAAUGUACCACAAAGAUCAAACCAUUCAGAGGAAUACAUAUUGUUACACAAUCUUUCCCUUUGUGGGUACUUUUGAUUUCUUCUUGCUGUUUUAUAUCUCCAAUGUACAUAAACUUUUCCUGUCUGCUUUAAAAAAAAAAAAUUUCUAACAGGGGAGGGGUGAGAUUUACAACUACUUUGGGAGUUUAGAAUAGAAAAGAAAAGAAGAGAAAGCUCUGAAGUUAUGAAAAAAAGAGAGAAAAGAAGAUAUUUAGUUUUGAUGUUAUUUGGGAGUUUAGGAAAAAGAUGAAAUGAUAUUGCAUACAUUAUGUCAAUAAAAUUUUGUUUAAUAAACAGUUAGGUAUAAAAGUGGUAUUUUAAAAAAUUUUAUAAAAAUUGCUCCAAGUUUUUUGUUGUUUAAGUAUAGCUGCCAGAGUGAUCCAUCCAAAUCUUUCCAUUUCCUUUUUUUUUUUCAAUUUGCUCCACAACUCCCGAACAUCAGAAAAGAAUUAUCUUCUCUCACUUGGUUUUCUUUUCCCAUCAAAUCUAAGCAUUCAGAAGCAGGAAGGUGAUAAGGAGAACUUUUUUUCCCUUUGAAGGAAGGUGAUAAGGUGAUUAGAGUACAAAAUUUUUAUUUCUUAAAAUCUUAACCUUCACUACUAGAACAAACUCUCCUCGGUCAAAAUACCAAAAGGGAUUGGAUCUGGUAAAGAGAUUCGCAAGCCAGCUGGUCUCCGUGUGGAUCUGGGCCGAACUUAUUGGGUCUGGGAACAUGCUUUAAAGGAUAUUUGAAGAUCUAAAUAUGAACCACGUGCCCAGAUUCCUCCAGAUAACGGUGCACUUUAAUUUGGUAGGCUCAGACGGCCCAGAUCUGCUUUUGGGCUGUUGGUGUCUGAUGUAGGCCAACCCUUGUGCCCAUUAACACUAAUGAAAAAUCAUUAACGCCAAUCAUGACUAGAGUUAGGAACUGAAUCUGAAUUCUGAAGUCUGAAUUCUGAAAUUUGAAUACUGAAACAAUUAAUUUGCUGAAUUUUAAGCACUAAAAAAAAUAUAUGAUAAAUAUUUAUAACUGAAUGCUUAAUAAGUUAAAUUUGACAAAUUUGCCCUAAUAUCUUUUCAUCCAAAAAAGAAAUAGAACCUAUGAUUUAACUAGUUAAAAAUGUUAGGUAUAAAAAUGACAAUAUUUAUUUUUAAAUCAAAUUAAUAUAAAAGAUGAAAUUUAUUAUAUGAGGAGUAUGGAGAAGAUGUGAAAAUCAUUCAAAUGGGAGAAAAAAGAAAUAGAAAAUCAUUACAUAGAGAAUAUUAGAUUGUUUAAUUAGAUAAGAAUUUUGAACAUAAUUAACAAAUAAGGGUAGAUUUGGUAGAUAAGAUAAGGUAAUUGAAGUAAUUCUAUUGAUUCUUAUCAGAAUUAAGCAUGUAGUUAAGAUUCUUGUGCUGAAAAUAAUACAUACAAGUUCAGCACUACUUAACAAAUUCAUCAAAUAGAUUUUCAUUUAUCAAACAAUCAAAACAUCUAAAUGUCUGAAAAAACUCAGAUUCAGCACUUUUUUAUGUUAUCAAACAGACUCUUAGUAUUUCUUGUCCUGUAAUCUGAAAGGUUAAAUGCUGCUUUUUGAAAAAAAAAAAAAAAAAAAAUUUUACCCUUCCACCCACUCUCACAUUCUUCCUACUCCCAACUAUAAUUUGAUAACGAAGAGAUCUCUAAAAGUCCUACUCUGAUCACAGGAUUAAAUGCUGCUUGAGCAGAAUUAUCAUACAAGAAUACUCAUUAUGAGAGGCAUGAUUCUGUCUCAAUUUAGGGGACAAAAAGAAAAAGUAUGAGGAUCCUCACAUUCUCUCCUUAAUGAGAGAUUAUUCUUAAAACACACAUGACUUGACCUUUGUUGAUCAUUUUAGUUGAUCUUAAGCAACUGAUUAAUGAGCACUUAGCAAUUAAUUAUGAAUCCUUGCACUUGAAGAUGCAAUAAGUGUCAUCUUGAAGGUAUGAAACAUACAAUUACUCCUUAGCCGUUGGGAGGAGUGGUACUUGAACUUAUGCAAAAUUUAACGCCUUCCAUGAGAUGGUCAUUCAAGCUUUCAAAGGCGUGGUAUCGGCACGGGGUUUUGUGUAAUUAGUGUCUGAGAAGACAGAUAGAAGGCGUGAUGUCUGGUAGGGUCAUGAGUACUGCAAUGCUUUCCAUACGAAUUACUUACCCCCUCUGUGGAGUUCCUCUCUGGCAUUUUUCUAGAACCACGAUAAAACAAAAACUAUAACAUCUUAUUAUUGUAGCUUCUUAUUUCUUUUUUUAAAAACAUACUCCUAAGAUAUUUUCUUGGAUUUCUUUUCAAAAAAGAAAAUUUCUAGGAUUUUAAGCAACUAUAUAACUCAAUUACAUUGACUAGAAUUUUCUUUAGAAAUAAUUAAAAUGCUGAUUCAAUUAGGUACGGUUUUGGAUGAAUUCUUUCAUUUCGCAAUUUGUUAGUAUUUUGGCACACCAUAUUCGUAGGAGUUUUGGAUGGAAUCUUGGCCUUCUUACCGAAAUAAGAAUAUCAGUAAAGAAACAUUUCUUUCUCGAAAUAUCCAAACAAUAUAGUGUUAAGAAUUCUUCAAAGAAAAGUAGCCAAGAAAAUCUUUCACACUACUUACUCGUGUACUUUGUCAUUUUUGAUGUACAUAUAUGCAAGAAAGAUGAUUCUAACCAUAUAUUAUAUACAUGUUUUGUGUUUCCUAGUUGGAAGAUUAUGGCUCAUCUCAUAAACAAAUGCAUAUUUCUUUUUGGCCAUUCCUAUUACCAACUAGAUCACAAUUUUGCUAAAUUAGGCUAGGUAUAAGUAGAAAAUUUUUUGAGGGUUUAAUUUGUUAGCAAAUUUAACAAACUGCAAAUUCCCCCUUUUGAAGCAAUGAAGAAAAUUGCUUUCAGAUAUAUGCUUAGACAAGAGUUCAUCGGGCACAUCAAAUCGAGUGGAAAUUACUCUAUUUUUAAAAUUAAAUACCGGAUCAUGUGCAAAUUCUGUGGUAAAUAGACCAAUAUGACUCUGAGAUUUAUCCAUCUCAAUCUUGAAAAUGAAAUCUCAUCCUAUAUAAUAUAAUUAUACCUUGAAAUGAUCCCAAAGAAAUUCCUAGAAAGGUACAUUAUUUUUUUCUUUGUUAUCAAGCAAAGCAAGAAGCCAUGCAUGUGUUAGAAGAAUAAACAAAUAGAGUGUAAGACAACCAAUAUGUAGUUUAUUAUCCUAAAUCACAUAUUGCAAUCUCAGUUUCGUUGAAUCUGUCAAACUCCAAUCUUAAUUAUUUGCUUGGCGUAGAUCUCAAUGCAUUUCGCCUCUGAUAUCAUCUUCUCUUUCUACCUUUCACUCCCACCUUUACCCAAAUUUUUGGAAUGUUUUGAAGCCAUUUUCAAACUAAGGUGGGGCUUUAGGGCUUGAACUUUCUUGGUUAUGCAUAUACUAUAAUGCACAAAUCAGUGGAAUUAAAUUUGCAACUUGUUAACUUGAAGGGCUUCUACUUUGCUGCCUUUUAUUUUUUUUUUCUUUUGUUUCUUGUUUUUGGUUAAUUCAAUAGAUUAGAUUAAAGACUAUAUACAUUGUCCAAAGAUGUUAAUCUAAGUCAACAGUUUGAGCUGUAACCUUAACUGUUUGCACACGGGCUUCCUGAUUUUGCAUAAUAUACUUAUAAUCAGAUUCCAAAUAUGAGUCAAAUACAUACAAAUGUCAUUAAUUGUAGACCUACGGUCAUACAAAUUGCUUUGUUUCAAUGUCAAGAUGCCUAUAGGCAUCAAUAUGAACUACUUCCAACUCUGCAUUACACAAAAUAGAUGAAACAAGGAUACCUUAUGUGUGUGUGUGUCUAUAUACAUAUACAUGUAUAUGUAUAUAUAGAAACAAAACUAAAACUUUGUUUGGAUUGCAUUUUUCUGGAUUUUUUGUAGAAAUAUUAUUGUAGCGAUUUGAUAUGUGUAAAGUAAAAAAAUGAUUGAAAAAUGUGUUCAUGAAAAUUGUAACAAUUUUUUUUAAAAAAAUUACUUUCCAAACAAAGCGUAAUAUUUUCAAUACCACAAACGUUAGUAGGUGAUAACAAUAUCACAACAAACUUGACAGGUAAUAAAAUUUUCCUUUGAUCGAUACAGUGUACGAGGAAAAACAAGCAAAACCAGCAUUUUAUUUGGAUAGAAACAAAUGGGAAUAAAAGAAAGGUUUAAAGAGAAAGGAAAAACUUUGUAAUGCCAUCAACAUUUAAGCUAGUUUUUUUUUUGGGGGGGGGGGGGGGGGGGAGAAAAUGAUUCUUAUUCAAUGGUAGUUCUUAUAAAUUCUUCUCUUUGUCCAUCAAACAAGUGUAAUAAUGGUAUAUUACGCUUGUGGAAGUGUAACAAAUGAAUGCUCAUAACCUUUUCUUGCUAUUCUUUUCCAAAAAUCCCAAUAGUCGAAUACAUUUUUGUCUUUUUUUCUUCGUUUCUUUUCUCUCGUAACUUAAGUUAAUCUUCCUUUUUUUUUAAUUUUUUUGCUUAGCUAGCUCCACUAUACUCAGAAAGUAGGCAUUAAAAGGAAAAAAAAAAAAAAGAGAAAUGUAUGAUUCUCAACAUUGCACCACUACAUAUAUUUUCACCUUUCAAGUUUCAACCAAAUGGAAUUGUCAUUCUCAUUCUAGACCUUUGAAGUUAGAACCCUCUAAACCAAACCACCAUCCAUUUUCAUCUACCAAAAGAUUGGUUUCUUGACUUUGAUUCUCACUAAACAGCUAAACAAUCGUAUUCAUUAAUUCAAAGUUGCAUAAUUUGAGGAGCACUUUUCCCUUUAAUGGUUUUUUAAGCUUCUAGAGCACAUUACCAACCAACAGACCGGGAGACAUGCUAUCCCAAAUAAUAACAGUUGACCUUUAUGAAGGUAGCAGAUUCAAUGUACACUUAAACCAAAUUAUGGAGUAAGUACUUAAAUAAUAUCCAACUUCCGAGGACAAGCUACUCCAUAAUUAAGGUUGGCUGAUUAACAUAGAUUUUUAGAAGCCAUUGGUAGUUGAGAUGAAAAGAGAUUAUUAGUUUUAAUCAAUGAAUCACUCCCAAAAUUUCACACACAAACAAAAACAAAAAAAAAAAUUUGUUAGAACCCGCAUGGCCUGCAAACUUGAAUAGCUAAUUUGGAAAUGUACAAAUAAAAUCAGACUUUAUCGUUUCUUUGCUUCCAUUUUCUGGUGAUUCGUUUUGGACUUCUUUUCUAUUUUUGCGGGGGCUUUUAGUUGUUUGUUUUCAAGAUGGAAUCUAAGAAUUUUAUAUGAUCAUAGAAAAUUUUACAAGAAGCAGACAACCAGUUAGGACAUAUUUUAUGCACAACUCAACUUUUUGUCUGUUAUCUUUUCAAGAAUUUUCAAUAUCCUUCCCCAAAUUAGAAUCUAAACCUUGAACGAAUAUUCUCAUUAACUUAUGUUUUUGUUGAUAAUUCAUUUAAUUAAUAACCUAUAGAGCUGUUCUAAUACGAUCACACAUAAUCUUGAUACGAGAGAAAUAAUUAUUAGGUGUUGAUUUGAGCCUGGACUUGCUCAUAAACUGUUUGUGCAAGUCUAGAAUAUAUAUCAAACUACAUAAACCAAAAGGUAUUUACUUUGUUAGGAAAUUAUUAAAGCAAUUCUUAAUGAUGACAACUAUUUAUUUGUAGUAUUUCACAUCCAAAUACUUUCAGCCAACAUGGUAAAAAUUGAAUGUCCAUCCAAAUUAACUGAUGCGAAUUAUAAAUGAUAGGACUGCAAUAACCAUAUGGAAGGGAAACAUAAGUUGGAGUUCUUGUUUGAGUUAGGAAAGCAAUCAUUUGUUGUAAGAUAUUAGCAAAACUGAAGAUGAUGAUGUACAAAUUUGACUCAAAUAUUGGACCAAGAAUUGCCAUCUGUUGUACAAAUUAAGUUAACCUCAGAUUCCUUUUCUGAAUAGAUGGAUAACAAAUAAUGAAGCUCGUUGAUUUGUACUAGUAGUUGAAAUUAACUUCAAACUGUAGAUGGAACAAAGGGAAUAGUAAAAAAAAAAAAAAAAAAGUAAAUCUAAUGCUGCAUUCAACUAGUAAAUGAAAGGGUUUAUGCAAGAACAAUACCAGUGGCCUAUAUUUAUAAAUUAUAUCUCAUAAUAUGACUAUUAAGGGUAAAUUUACCUAUUUAUUACAUGAAAAGUUAAUCUGUAUUUAAGAGUUGGAAGAACAUCUACAGUCAAGGCAACCAGCUUUUUAACAAGCCCGGAUGAGACAAGAAGUUGGCAUACAAAAAUGACAUGCACAUGCAGGAAGUAGUUAAAACACACAAAUCAUCUCAUUCUGUGAUUGGACACCACAUGCAUUUCUAUGAGGAAAUAAAGACAACGAAAGUAGAAAUAAUACUGAGACAGUCCUUGAACUACUACAAACAUCUUUGCAAUAUUCUUUUUUUUUUAAAUCAAGAAUUGCACUUGAAAUUCUGAAAAAGCAAGCAAAACUUCACAACUUGUAAUCUAGAGAAAAGCACUUGCAAGGGCCUAUUCACAUUGCCUCUCUUUGCUCACACUUUGAAACAACACAAUAUAGCUUCAGCUCAAUCUCUAAAACAUCAUAGAUAGACCCCUCUUGGUAUCUGGGGGUUUUUAAAAAAAAAAAAAAAAAAAACUCUUCAGAAGCCAAGCUACAGGCAUUGAUUUUUUUUUUUUUUUGGUUUAUUCUGGACAAUGAAAUUGAUAACUUCAGUAGAUCUCAAUGCAUAGGAAUUGAUCCACCAGCUCCCAAAACUUGCUUCUCCAGCUAAUAGAAAAAUAUAUGAUAAUUGUAAACAUGAAAUUAUUAAUUCUGAAAAAAAAAAAAGGGUUUCACAUGGUUACCUUGAACAUUGUUUCAAGCUUGUUCUUCACAAGGGAGUACUCAUGCUUUACUAGUUGCAGGCAUCUUAAGCACCUAUAAAUCAAUAUAUUUUAUGUUCCACUGUUCAUUGAUCAUUGAGAGUAAACGUUGGUAAACAUUAAGUGAUGGUCGCUGUUAAAAUUCAAAAACAAUAAAAUUUUCUCUUAAAGUUUUUCUGUGGGCUGCUAAGAGUAAGGACAAGCAAUACUAAUCUAAAAAACUAACCCUUCAGUGUUCUGUUCUUCACAAUAGUUACGGAAGGCAAUGCAUACUUUUUGAACCCUUUGCGCACCAAUGCUGCAGAAAGACAAAAGUUCAUUUUCUUCAGUUAAAUGAUGACUAGGAAGGCAAGAGAUCAAGAAAGAAAUUGUUGAAGAGAUCAAAUUAUCUGAUGUCCUUUGGCCUUCUACAAAAUAACCAAAUUUAUUCCUUAAUUUCUCCAAAAUAAAGAGUCAGAUGAGUACAAUGUCAUUUCAGAUAAUUCAGCAUUAGUGGUAGAGAAAACCUUGAAAAGUACCUCAAAUUCAUCAUUUGAGGACUGAAUUUUUCUAGAUGUAUUUAGUGGCCUACAGUUCUUUUGUCACAUAUGGUUCUGAUGUAUAGAGUUUGGUUUGAACAGGUACAAUUACUGUACAGACACAGAUGCAGAAGAACUAACUGAAGAUGCAUCAGUACUCCUCUCCAUUUCACGCCGAAGGUGUAGAUCAAAAAAUCACAACCCUUUGUCUUGAACUUCUAAAGGAUCAGAGAACUUAAAGAAGGAAAUCCAUAAAUACAUGAGAACUAGCAAAUGUUACCUGGAGCUGCUACCCUUCAACUGAUGAACAUGUGCGUCAACCUUCUUGAAGUCCACAAUUUGUUGGCUCCUACACAAAGAAACAUCAGAUUUAGCAAACAUCUGCUAGAAAAUAGAACCUCAUUGAAUAUGUUAACAAGCGAAGGAGCAAAACCAUUGAAAAACGCCCGGAAAAUGUAGUGCUUACAGAGUUUUGGAGAGUUCAUUGAGAAGCCUCUCAGAAUCUUCAAAGAAAAGAUACACAACUUCAACCACAAAAUCUGGAUUGCUUUCAUCUUGCAGUUGCUGAAGCUGUUUGAACUGAUCAUCAAGAAAUCCCUUUUCAAAAACAAAACAGAAAUCAUAAUCAGAAUAACCUGAUCCAAUCAAAGAAGGAAGGCAUAAUCAUGAAAUGAUCCAAAUGAUUAAAAUGCUUGCUUACCUCUUUGUAGAGGGAGGUUGAGUAGUCUACUAACUGCUUUUGCAACAGAAUUACACCAUCCAUUCUCGUUCUGGCUUUGCAACUGAAGCUCACAGGUACUGUGAAGUAGUGGUUGGAAGCUUAUUGAAUGAAGACUAUAUAUAUAAGCUGUAUAAGUUAAUAUGAACUUUUCCUCUUGGAGCUCUUUAUUUUUUUCUCGGAAAAGCUCAAGACACUGAGAGGGCAGGGCAAGAUUUGAUGAUGAAUUCAAUGAACUGAGGGGACUGAGUACAUUGAUGAUUGAUCCAGUAUUGUCUCUGUGUCUGUAGGAUUGUCUCCACCCCUUCUUUUUCACACUCUCUCCCGGAUUUGUUUUCUGUUCUUUUCCUUCCUUCCUCUCUGUCUCACCUCAUAAUGUUUCGGUAGCAACAACGAAGUUCGAAAUAUUAAAAGCUGUUUUGCAAGAUCCAGAAUAUGAUGCCAUCAUGCCACCACUUCUUUGUUUAACAUUUUCUUUUAACUAUUUCCUUUUAGCAAAUUGAAGCCAUGAACCCAUCAUUGGAUAUAUAAUAAUUAAUUUUAUAUUAAAUUUGAAAUCAAAUUUUAUAUAUAUACGAUUGUCAGACAAUAUAUAUAAAAUUAACUCUCAAUUAAAAUGCAAACUAUCUGUCCUUUUUCUCUCACAUUACUUUUUUUUUUUUUUUAAGAAUUUUUUCUCUUAAUUUUAGUUCCCAACGUCUUAAUUUGUCUGUACAUGGAGGUAUGGGCAUGAAUUGCCAAGCGUGCUAAACUAUGUCACAUCAUAUCUCCAAGAUUUUCUUCGGCAGAUUCUGUCUUUACGGCAAAAUUCAACAACUAAAAUGCUGUGAAAGUGAAUUUUUGUCUUUUCAAUACUCGAACAUAUAAUGUGGUGAGUAAGAAAUGUAAAUCAAGUGUUUUCUGCAACCUAAUUGGUUGAAUUUUUUAUUUGACCCUUAAUACAUCUAAAUCAAGUUGGAGAUUUUUUUUUUUUUUUUACAUUAAAAUGCCAUUUGCUAAGAAUGCACAUAUAUUUUAGGGAUAAUUUCAGAAACCUCCCCUGAGGUUUCUGACAAUUUCACUGACCUCCCCUGAGGUUUCCACAAUUACACUAACCUCCCUUGAGGUUUCUGAUUUUGUAACAAAAUCAGCCCAUGACCACAAAAGUAAACAUAAAAAAGUGUUUUCAGGAAAGAGAGGAAAUUUUGUUCCCAUAAAUGCCCUUAAGGUAGGUGUACAAGUUAUAUUAGUGAAUUAAUGAAAACUAAUAAAAAUCAGAAAUAAAUAAGAAAAAGUGAGGGGAUGGGUAUGGGAAUCAUAAAAUUUUACUUAUGGAUAUAAACAAUUGGGUAACGCAACCGACCCAAUUAACCCAUCUACCACCACUCAGGUCAUUUCACAAAUACAUUCAUCAGACAAAGCUUUCCUCUUGUCACAAAAAUUCAAAGCAAUGUGGUACAUGUUCACAAGCAAGCAGGUUAAAAUCCCGCCUGCAUAAUAACGUUGAAACCCGCAAGCGGGAUUCUGUGUUUUUUCUAUUUCAAGGUUAGCUCGCAUGCGGGUUAAUGUUAUAUUUGAGCGCGAGAAGAAAAAAUUGGUAAUUAGGCUCUUUGGGCAUUAUAAGUAAAUAUUUAAAUUAAUGGCAGUUUUAUUACACCAAUAUUAUUGUAUUAUCAUUAUUAUGAUUAUUGUAUUAUUUCUUAUGCAAAUAUAACAUUUAAUUAUUUAAAUUUGAUUUUAUUUUUACAAUUUAUAAAAUUUUUAUCACUUAUAUAAUAUUUUUAAAACCCUAAUACAUCUAAAUUUGAUUUUAUUUUUCAAAUUUAUAAGAUUUUUAUUUAAAAAAAUGGGAUACGGAUAAGAUAUCCGGUUGGUUCGAUUUGCAUAGGUGCAUAUGAGAAUAUCCAAAUACUCUUUAAACCCGCAUGCGGGUUUAAGGAGAUUAUGGCAACUCUCUGACACACUAGUUACCCGUCCAACUUGUGUGUAUUAAAAUAUAUUUAAAUAUUAUAUUUCAUAUUUUUGUUAUUUAGAGUUUAACAAAACAUUAAUAUUGGGUAGAUUUGAGGGAUAUGCAUAAUUUUGCAUAUUUGUAGGAAUAUUAGAAAAUGGAAAAUUUGGGUAAAUUCCCAAAUUUUGGAGGUAAGGUGUAAUCCAAGAACUAAAACAGUCAUUUAUAAAACAUUAACAGUAAUAAGGUGCAAACCAAAACUGCAAUCCAAGAGUAAUAUCAUUACAAAUUUCAUAACCAUACAUUAAAUAAAUAGAAAUGCAAUCCAAUACUAUCCAAAAACACCAUCUGCCUUAUCAUAUUUUAGUCCUAUAAUAACACAAAAUGUCUUGGGUAUAAUAGUAAUUUUGCAUUAUAUGAUGUCAGCAAUUGGGUCCCAAGUUCUGCCAGGGGAGGUCAGUGUAAUUGUGGAAACCUCAGGGGAGGUCAGUGAAAUUGUCAGAAACCUCAGGGGAGGUUUCUGAAAUUAUCCCUAUAUUUUAAAGCAUAAACUUAGAAGUCCUUGAUUUUACACAAACAGUACAUUUUGAUCCAUUAUAAAUGUGUGUCACUUCACGGACUCAAUUUUCAAUGUGCAAUCUAAACACUUUGAUCCAAGAAUAACUUUUUUUUUUUUUUUUUUUGCGUAAGCUAAGUUCCAGUUCCAGAUGAGAACCGUUUCUAAUUAUAUUAAAAACCGAUUCUAUACUAAAUGUUCUGGAACUUCCAUCACCAUCAACUCAAUUUCUUAACAGACAUGAAUUAUGUUCCGUUUACCUACUCUUUCUUUUCAUCUUAUCUCUUGACAUUUUCACAAAACGCCUUUAAUCUUUUGGUAGCUAGCUUCCUUUGUGGUUUAUUGGUGUUAUGUUUUGGUUGGUUGGUAUUUGGUAUAUGGAUUAAGCGGUUGGCAUUUAACUUAUCCUGAGAGGGACUUUUGCUAUAUAAGAUGGCCCCCCCAAAGGCCACUAGCAGCAUCUGGUUUUGGCUUGACACUUUCAACCAGGGUGUAAAGUUAAACCCUUCAGUUUCAUCAUAUUCAUUUUGGUGUUGAUACUUUUUAUCUUCACAUUCUGUAGUUUUGUCAGAAGUGAGAACGUGUCUUAUGUUGAGUGAAUUGUGUAGGGGACAUAUUACACAUAUGGCUAAUGCCUGCCAGUCAGCCACAAGGGUUGGUUGCAUUUUGCAUUCAAAGCAGAAUGAUGACAGCAAUUCUGAUUAUGGAUAUAACUCCCUAUGCAAAUGCAAAUUAGAGCAGUUGGCUGCAAAUCCAAAUCCCAACCCUGAAAUUGACAGCAAAUGCAGUACUAUUCUGACUUGGUCUCAUUACUCUUCUUACAGAUUUGUGUUUGUUAUUUUGUUUCUGUUCACAUGUCAAUGUUAAAGAAUGUGCAAGAGUCCCUCUUCAGGAUUUACUACAGAAAAGAACACUAGGUGGUCCAACUUUUUUUUCUUUUGUUUUAUUACUCACCUUUAAAGUCUAAAAGACUACUUUCUGGAUUUUCAGAAAAUGUAAGGGAGUAAAAAGUGAAAUACAUUUCUUGACACCACAGAGCGAUCAGCCAUUUUAGUAAAAGAAAAAGGGAUUGUUUGCGAAUAGUCAUCUUUUACUUUUCGUGAAAGAGUUACUUCAAUCCCUCUAUUUUUCCGUCUGUUUCUUGCAACCUAACAAGUUAGAAAGAAGUUGAAAUGUGGGUAAUUUUGACUGAGGCCAAAUUUGCAAUCCAACUCACCUAUGUCCACAUCCUUUGAUAUGUAGUAACCACUGUCCCACUGAUUUGAGUGAAUAGUAAAUGGCAAGUUUGUUUGGAGCACCUAUCUUGGAUACACGUAGCCUUUCUGGGCAGUUCGAUUGGUCACAGGAAGCCUCUUAAGGUCCCAUUGUCCAUUCUCUCCCACCAGGAAUCGAGUCCCAGUGAUUACCGAUUCGAGGGAAUGGGACCUCUCCUCUCGGGUCUCAGGGGGAUUAGUCGGGUCCGGCAUACUCGAAGCCCGGAUACCCCCUGAGUAGAAAAAAAAAAAAAAAAAAAACCUAUCUUGGAUACACGUAAUAUGAGAUUAGUAGAAAUAAUUCUCCUAAUUUACAGUGCAAGUUCUCAGGGAAUUUGUACAGAAACUGAAGGAGCAUUCCUUUCACUAGUGUUGAAAACUACAGCUACAUAGCAGUACUUCAAGCAAUACAACUCAAGAUCAUUCAUGUUUUUUCAUCUUUAAGUAAGCUUGAAAGUGGUAUCUAGUCUUAAGAUGAAUUUACAUAAUUUUAGUUUUUACAUCCGAUGAAAAAAACAAAUGAACCCAAUUUAGCAAAUGUUUUAAGACCAUUAAGAAGUUAUGGAGUACAAAAUGGCUGGUCUUGCACAUGUAAGUAUCUUUUCUACCCCUUUACCUAGGAGGAAAAAUCCCUCCAUUGAAGAGGCCUUGGAUUCAUGGAUAGCCAGAGAUCCAUUAAUGACUCUGUACCUCCAGUCAGAUAUAGGACUACAGGAGUUUAGGGGACCACUUCUGGUGUUUGUAUGUUAAGUCUUGCUACUGGUGUGAUAUGAAGGGCAUCUAAUGGGACACCAAAGAAAGAAGAUGUGACCCAGUUAAUGUAGGAGACACCACUCGAAGCCAAAACAUCACAGCAUUUUAGGAUUGAGUAGGUAUCCUAAGCAUUCACCACAGCAUAAAAGCCAUAAAUAGAUUAUGAUGGGCGUUCCUAAUGGAUACAAAAAUGUACAGCAAAAAUGGCUGUUCAUUCAGCAUGCGCAGCCAACAUUUUUCAAGCUUGUGGCCAUAGAAAAUGUGGGCGUCCAAGGGUGAAUGGGGAUAUAGGAGUGACGACAGUAGAAAUUUGCCUCUCUUUUAUUUACAUCAUGUACAUAAAAUAUUUGAGUGUGAUUGGAUAUCAAUUUUACUUCAAAUAUUAUUUUACUUGCAUCACAACAGACACGUUUUUCAAUCAUCUUUUUAUCAUUUCAAAUACUUUUGCAUCUCACAUAUAUCACAUGUUAAAAAAUAUUACAAUUCCAUGAUUAAUUAUUCCUAAUAAUAAUGUUUCAAAUAAUCUCCUAGCCAGUUGGACAAUCCUUUAAGCUUAAUACGAAUGCUAGUGUUACUUCGUCUGGACUCUGGAGCAAUUGGAGGGGGUCUUCUACUAUGUUUUCAGAACCGGACCGGAUAGCGACUCGGCCGAGGUCAGGGGUCAGGGGUCAAUGGGUUCGACCUGGGGUCGAUAGGGGUCGAACCGGAUGACGUCAUAAAUAAAAAUUAUUUAAAAAUUAAAAUAUUAUAUAUAUAAUAUCUAAUAAUAUAUUGAUAUUAAUAAAGGUAUAUUCAUAUAUAUUUGAUGUUUCAAAUAUAUUUAACAAGAAAAUACAAAGAAAUUAGAACAAUCAAGUAGCAAUUUAUAUUAUUUAAUAAAUAUUAACAAGUUUAGAAUUAAAAUUAUGAAUUUAAUUGAAAAAUAACAUCAAAUUUUAGGACAAUAUUUAUAAAGUAUCAAAUAUUUGAGGUAUAUCAAUAAGUUUUAACAAUUUAGGGGGCCAAAACAUAAUAUUAAAAAGUUUGAAAAUUUUUUUAAAAAAAUUACUGUUGAACCGGAAAAACCGAUUUUUUCCCGGUCAAAUCCGGUUUUUGACCGGCUUUGACCGGGUCUUAAAUUUUCGGUUUUUUAAUGUGACUCGGACCGGCUACCUGGCCGGUUCCCGGUUCGACCGCCCGAUCCGGUCCGAGUUUGAAAACAGAGGUCUUCUACGGUCUCAUGAUGACAAGUUAGUUUUUGCUUUUUACAAGGAGUUUGGGGAGACUAGUGUUGUUUUUGGCUGAACCUAUUGUCAUUUUUGUUUUUGCUGACAAGUUAGUUUUUCUAAUAUGUCAUUAUUGGUUGGUUCGAUCUAUUGCCAGGAAAGAAACUUCACAGGGUUUAUGGCCGAGGUGGAUUCGAAAUCAUUAGUUACAAUGGUCUCGUCUGAUAUUUUGGCACGUUGGCCUCUUUGCAAUGUGCUGCGACUGAUAAGGGCUCUGCUAUCGGGUCUUGGAGUUUAUCUGCAUCAUGUCUUUAGGCAGGCUAAUUCGGCUGUUGAUGCAUUAGCUUCGUCUCAUUUAGGGUUGUCACGUCGGAGGACAGUCUUCCCAGCUAUGUCAGAUCAGCCAUUCAUCUCGAUAUAGUGUCUCAAUUCCUUCGGUUAGGCUCCUUUCUAUCAGGAAAUAGUAAACUUUCUUAUCGUAUACAGGUCUUAUUUGGUCCUCUCUAGUUCUCGUGCUUUGAUUAAUAAAAUUAGGGCUGUCAUCUCUCCUCCGUAUAUGAGAUUUGCCAAAAAAAUAAUAAUAACAAUCUCUUAUCCAACUUAAAAAGAGAUUUCUUUCCCCCAUUCUUUAAAGAGUAGAAACUUAUCAUUCAACUUUUAUUUAAUAUUUACAUGAGAGAGAGAGCUUGGCCAACAAGUAUCCCAUGGCACUCAUUAAGAUAGUUUUAGCUGUUAACUUUUUGGUAAGAGACUGAUUCGGAAAAAUAUCUGAAUGCAAAGAGACAAUAAUUACGUGUGUGUAUUUACAUGAUAAGUUAAAUGUAAUUUAAGCAUCUUAAAAAGUGCUUCAAGUUUUUGCCAAAUUUGUCUGCUACAAGUUUUUUAAAAAACUUUAGCUACAGUAAUCUCAAAAAUUUUCUCAAAAUUUUUAAAUUAUACAUUUCAAAAUAUUCAAAAAUCUACACAUUUCAAAAAAAUUUUUAAAAACUUCUACAGUAAGCUACAGUAAAGUUUUAAACAAACUCCCACAAAACUCGCCUUCUAAACAAGGCAGCACAACCUUUUAUGUCACACACUACAGGUUGAAAUUAUCUACAAACCAAUUCAUUAAACCAGCUUGAAGACUAGUUGUUGAUCUGUUCAACCAACUUGAUAAGCAACCUUGAUCACUUGUUAGUAUAUCAACCUUGAAUACAGUUUGGUUUUUUCACUUUUCAGAUGUCAAUUUUCAUCCGAAGCAACUUAGGAAUCCUUAAAAUUAUGAGCUUCAAUAACAAGGCAUUGUCGACUUCCAUCAGACCUCAACAUGAUCUCCUAAGAAUUUCUUGUAGAAAGAUGUAUAGCAUGGUUAUAAGGAGAAAUUCUGUAAACUUAGGGAAACAUACAUAAACAGUGGAGUUUUCUGUCAACGAAAGCAUUAUUGUGCGUACCAAAAACUAUCUAUUCCGCCAUGUUUGUUUGUUUCACUUCACUUUCCCAAGAUCACCAAUCUUCUAUAAGAAGAACUUGUGGAAGAUAAAGACCCUUCAACCUGCAUUUCUAAAAAAUUCCGAAGAAAUAUGUAAAUGUCACAACUGGAAGAAGUUGUCUCAAAAUGAAAGAGCGCAACCGAAAAAUAAAUAAAUUGCGAACAAUUUUCAAAUAGGGAAAUGCAAUGUACUGUAGAAGAGUACCUUUUCUGUCUUUGGUUUUUCUUUUUGUGGAUACUUCUUUUAUUUUCUUUUCUUUGAAAGAACAAAUAUUGUUACACCGGGGGAAGAAAAAGAGAAUGUUCAGACAUCAUUUGCAUCAUGAACUUAAUAUACAACAUAUAUACACAAGAACUCCCAACCAGGCACUUUCACUCUGCCAACACAAGGGGACGCCAAGAAUAAGUCAUACAUUCACAUCAAUAUGUUAGUAAGCAUUUCUGGGGAGCUGUACUGGAAGAACAUCAUUCUUUCGUCUGCCAACCUUCUGCUCAACAUUGGGCGGUGGCACAAGGCUGGCAUCAUCAGGUCAUGCAUCAACCUACGAAAAAAUUGGCGAGCAUGUUGGCUUUAUCAGAAACAUAAGAGUAGAGACAGCAUGCAAAGAAGCUUCAUCUGUGAAGCACCAAAAGUUUUCAGAUUACCAGCUGUGGCUGGUCCUAUCACUAUACUAGCAGUGAAACAACUUAAAAUUUGAUAAAAUUGACAAAACAGACAAAACAGCUUUUCAGAUUGCACACCUUCUUCAGAAAAGGCAAAUACACCUCCAAGCAUACCAUCACUUUCCACAUCUUCCUCAGUUUUCUCUCUGUCACAAGGACUAUUACUGCUAUCAAUAUCAGUAACUCCUUCACUCAACUCAUGUGAAACAUUAGUGGCUGAUGCUUUACAGUAACCCUCCUGGAAGUACUGUCCAAAAUCUACAGGGUCAUGCAUAUCUUCAUGCACUGGCCCCUCAUCAAUAAUCUUCAUACUCGCAUCUGACCGAUUAGAGCUUGUGUUUGAAAGCUCACCAGUGAUGGUGCUGUUUGGAGACUGAACAAACCCCCUUAUAGUGCUUCCUUCAGUAGAAAGAGGCCCGUUCUUGGGAGAUGAUGGUCUAUUUACAAUGUAACUUUCUUCAAGAGAAUUCAUGGUUUUAGCAGAUGAUUCAGGGGAACUUGAAGACCUACGGUUCAAAGAAACAGAACCUGAUCUCCUUACACCAUCAUUCUCAUCCACAGUUGAGCCAUCAGAACCAGAAUCUGAUGCACCCAUGUGAUCCAAGCCAUGAAGAAAUGCUGAUGCUUUAGCAAAACCUGACAAAUUUUGACCAACAUCUAUCAGUAACUAGGAAGUAAGUCAAACUAUCAUCACAAUCAAAUCACGUCAGUGAGAAAAAUGAUACCUGCAGGUAUCUUUUUGGUUGAUGCAGGCGAGAUCUGUUUAGAAUUAGAGACUACACUAUCUUCUAGUUUAUCUUUACCAGUAUGGGAACCAAAUGAUGAUGAUCGAAACCUGCAACAGGCAAAAUCCAAUUCAGUAGCUUGAGCCAUUAAAAUGUCAAUAAUUUGGAAGGAAUGGAGUCAUACAAAGAUGAAAAUUUCCCAACUUACCAAGACAACACCAUAUCCUUGUUCAUGAGCAGAAAAGAAAAAAGAAGCAAAAGAAUACAAUGGUAUAUAUUAACAAGACCAGUGGGCAAUGCAAUAUGUUGAGCAACAUAAAAAGCAUGUGCACAUAUCCUUCUUUCAUUGUUUAGUGUGCUCAAAGAGCUAGAGAAGCAAACAAAAGAGAAAUAUCUGUUGUCAAUAAUCCUACGUGGAUUAAGAUCAAAUGUUAUGUUCCAAAAGAAGAAUGGUACAGCCACUUCACAGCUUAAAAAAAGAUUCUCAUAGACUUGAUUAAUAAUCAACCAAGAGGAACUUGCCUCCUAGAUCCUUAAUUGUUCAGGAAAUAUCACAGGUCAACCUCAAGGAUCAACUAUUACAUAAUUUUCACUAGGAUGGACGUCAAUAGUAAAGGUAGAAUGCAACAUAACAAAGGGAAAUCAAAGCCUAAAGCCAAUCUAUCAUCAAAAAGUUCACUCUUGUUUAAAAGAACAUGCUAUACCAGUUUCAAUGAACAAAUUAAAUCUCACUGAUCCAAUCUCAAGUACAACACUGGGGUAGUUUAAGUUACAAAUUCUUGUGAAGAAGAUUUUAUUUUUCCACCACCUUAAAAAAAAAAAGAGUAAAGAACAAAGGCUAAAAUAUGCUUCUUAUUCACAUUAUCAAUAAGAAAUCACUUUGCAAGGUACUUGAUCAUAAUUUAUAAAAAGACACUGCACCUAUCACGCAGCAUUUUUGGAAACAAAGUUUUGCUUUUCACUACAGGUAUUGGUUUAUUGUGUUUCCAAUCAUUCAAAGUGCAAAAGCCAAAACCUUCCAAAUACCAUACUUGUUCUAUGUAACUUUGGAAUUUAUGAAGAAGAAAUGAUACAAUAUCCAAAACUUUCCAAAGACCAUACUUGUUCUAUGUAACUUCGAAAUUUAUGAAGAAAAAAUGAUACAAUAUGUGAAUAUACUAGAUGUAUCCCAAAGGAAAGCAAGGUGUUUAGGGAUGGUUUGCAGCCAAAUGAACACAAAAAAUCCUACUUAUGAAAGUUCUAUAAGACAAGCAAAUUCUCACUUUUCUUUUCUCUUUUCUAAAAAAUAGAACACUCUAAAAUUUAAUGCUUCAACAACCACUACAUGUGGAAACCGCCUACUACUAGUUUAGCAUAAAACAAAUGAAAAUUCAAAUGCACCUGAAAUGCAAAACUAAUUUGUCAUUUGUUAAUACUUUAAGAAAAUGAGAAUGUCAAUAAAUCUCACACACAUCAAAUGUGCCAUUAUCACUAGUUUUCUCCAAUUAUUCUAAACCAUAUCAGCAACUCUAUCUGAGUAACAAAAAUUUUUAUAAAUAAAAUUCUUUCCCCAGCCCCAAACACAUCUUUCUCCAGAUUUCCACACCACAUACACCUCAACAACCCACAAGAACAAAUUCUAUGAAGAUGCAACCAAUUGGCAACAUUCAAAGACCUUUAAAUCCUUGAUUGAUCAAGUAUUUGAAGUUAUCCCUGUCUUUUUAUAAGUACCUUGUACCUUUCCAGAUGAAAAAGUAAAUUAUCCAGUUUCACCAAAACCUUUAUUCUAUAUCUGCUUAGCAUUGAAGAUUUACACAAAAAAUAACAAUCUCGUUCUUAAGAUAAUCUUGCAGGCAUUCAUUUAAUUGAACUAAAGAUUAACAGUUUCAACAUGCUAAGUUUGCUACUCAGGCCAGAGAAAGUAACGAAGUAGCCACUUCAUUACCUGUCAUCUCUCCAAUCAGAUUGGAUUCUGCGGAAAUGGUCAAAUACAGGCAGCAACUCUCGGCGCCUUAUUUCAACCUCAGUAGCAGGAAUCUUCUCAAUCUCAAUUUCUCCACCAGUAUUUACAUCCACCAAGUUCUGCUCUUCAUAUCCACCAUGACUCAUUGUAUAGAAGUAUAUCUAAAAAGUGAAGUAAGCAUCAGCACAAAUUAUAAUAGUAAUAUACUUGCAUGAUGAUAAUGAAUACCUUCGAUUUUUGCCAUAUUGGCAUCCUCCCAGACCUCAACUGCACCUCAGCAUUGGAGAGAUACCAAUGAGAUCGGUCAUGUGGUUUCACAGCAUCCUUUUCUCCAAUCUCGUUAUCUUCCGGCUGAGCAGUGUCCAUGAAUGCCUCAGGAGCUUCCCGUCCCCCAAGUGUAAUACCCUGAAUAUAUUCCUCUUUUUCAGGCCAAUUUGCUCUUCGACAAACAUCCCAUCGCUGGACAGGUUCAACUUUCACUCCCAAAUCAUCCUCCUGCAUCUGCACCAUUGAACUUGUCCCAUUUUUCAGAGAAGACUCGCUCUGUUCUCCCCCAAGAGAGGGCAUCAGUUCAUAUUGAACUAGAUGACCAGAAGGUGAGUAAACUAACAGGUGCUCUAGAGCCUUCCCAUUUGGGGAAACAGAUUGGCUAUUUUGGUGUAGCAAACUGUGAAACACAGCAGCAAUAACCCCAGAGGUUGGAGAAACCUUCCCUGCAGCAGAAGAUGCAGCAUUGCUUACUGUAUUCAGCCAAUUCCCGCUUUUUAUCCUGCAAACUACAGAGAGAGUGAGAGGUACUGGUGGUGGUGGGGAAGCCUGCUGGUUUAUCAGGAAUGAUGAAGUAGACCACCAAGGCAUCGAUAGAACUGGAGAAAGUGUGGGACCAUCAAUAUGAGAACUUUGUAAUCGAAGACCAGUCUCACCACCAAAUGGUGAGAGAACAAAAAUAUGGCAAGUGCCCCGUGAUGAUACAACAGCAACCCACUGACUAUAGUGACUAAAACAAAUGUCUUGUAUUACCUGUUACAUAAAAUCGAACACAGGAGAAGAUAAAUAAAUAGAACAAUAACUAGUGGUAAAUAAUCUACAAGGAGAACAUGUUGCAGAAUUCUUAUCAAUAUGCACAAACAAAAAUAGAAAAACAAGAUACAUACAGCUGAAGUCAUGCCACGAUGAAGUUUGUAGAGAUGCACGUGAGAAGAACUCCAAUCAUAGUUAUCAGCGCCUAACCCAUUCUGUGUUUUAGAAGGCAGAAUGCGGAAUAUGUUUAUGUUGUUCCCAUGUAUAGAGGCUGUAACAAGAAGAGUUCCACUUGGAUCAAAACAGAGAGCAGAUAAUGGACUUGUAUGUGCCCUGAACUGUGAUAUGACUGUUUUUGAAGCAAAAUCUUUUAUAACAACCUGCAUUUGAAGAUUCAAGAGAAAAAUAUUAUUCAACAAGUUAAUUAAUAUAAAAGAGUACAAACUGCUCUUCAUUAUGUCACCUAUCCGCUACUUACCAUAAUAAGAUCCCAAUUUAGGAAAACAAUCCUACUAAUCAGGUAAUGGCAAAAUACUAUCCAGAUAUUUAUGAGAUAACAAAGUAAUUACAAUCAUUAAAAAUUCAGUAAUUUCAACUAUUCCAGUAUGCUCUUUAAAACACUCACCAUCCCAGCAGCAUCUGUCUCAGAUGAAUGUGCUGUAGCCCUUCCACCUUUCCAGUUAGAAUUAGAUGACACCGGCGAACUCGAACCAUCAGGAAGGAGCUCAUGACAGUAUUUUGAUAAAGUUUUGUAGCCCAUGUCACCCAAAUUGAUUAAUCCAACUGCUAACUGUUUACUCGACUCCAUUGCAUAACGAGCAACCAGGUUUCCACUACCAGGUGAGGUAGAAGGGCUCACACCAGGAGAAGGACUUAGACUUUGAGGACUUAAGCGUCCUGUAUUUGACAGCAAGGGAUUAUUAGAAGCAUAGGCUAACCACCUGGGGCCCACAGCCAUUGGACCGUAGCCAAUGUUUACCCCAUUAGUACCCUGCCCUCCCAAUUGAGGUACUGGAUAUGUUAGCACGCUGAACUUGUUCUCUAGAGUAAGUGCAUCAAAGCAAUAUAUCUGCCAGGAACAGUAAAAUGUAAGUCAAACAAUUGUGACUGUAUAAUGAAUGAAGUAACAAAUUCUUAAAAGCUAUUUACGUUUAAUAAACAAGACUACAUGGGCUCAUGCUACCAUUAAAUUGAGUUCAAUGUACCAAAAUGAAAAACUUCGCCUUUGAGAUCUUCUAACCAAUUUUCUGAAAGCCUAUCUCAUUCCUUUGGCACCAUAAUCAAAGAAACUUGCAACAUCAUGGGAGAAAGUUAAAAUAAUUAGAUAUUUUAGUUCAAACUAUCUUCAGCAACGAAGAAUGAUAGCAUCGUAUCUAUAAGGCAAAAGAAUAACCUUAUCUAGUAGAGCCUUUCAAUGUAUAAUUGUGAGGGACAGAUUAUAGCAUCCAUGGAUGCCAUAACUGUCACUCUCUACAACAUAUGACAAACAUUUGCUACAUGGUCAUCUCAAAACUAAAAAUCAAUCCAGAGCAGAAAACACGUAUAUAACACAACUAGAUGCUUACCUGUGCUGCAAGACCCACAGCUACUAUCUGCGGACUGCACCUAACCAUAUAUACAGUUGACCGAAAUCUUAAAACUUGGACAUAGUUGUGAGACCUUAAGGAGUAAAACCGAACAGUUGUAGGAGACGCCAAAAUGUUUGCUGACUGAUGAUCAACAAAUCCAUCUCUGCCAUUCUGAACUGGACCUGGAUAACUUGCUUCAUCACUUGCCACAACCAACAGCAUCGGAUGUGAGGCCCUGUAUCCUUCACGCUCAACAGACUUUGCAGGCAUAGGUUGAAUCUGCAAAAAUGUGACUGGAUCAUCGCGCCUUGAGACCAAUUCAGUGACACGAGAUGCAUCAUUGACAUCAAGAACUUGAAAACCAUUGGAAUAACCAAUAAGAAGAACACGUCUUAAAGAAGAACCAAGUUCUAUUCCGUCAAAGGAAGCCCAUAAAACCUGGAAAGAAAGCAAAGAAUGUUCUGGUCAGAAAGAAUGACAGAAUAUCAACCAAAAAUGUCACUUAUAAGAUCAUAAACAGGCAUCAUUUAAAGAGAAAAAAGAAGCAUUAUAGACUGUAAGAGUGUCUAAAUGAGAAGGGAUAUCAAAAGUUCAAUAUUCAAUAUUAACCAGAAAUAAAUGCAGUUACAAACAUCUAAAACUUUGCCAGAAGAGUUUUUUCAAUGCCAAGGAUUCUGCAGCAAUGGCAAAGUAGAUGUACUUCGACAGAACAACAUUCUGAUGCAUGGGAGUUGGCCCUCUUCUCUUAGAAGAAAGCUCGUCUACUCAGCACUUAUGAACAGUGAGGUCUGGGAAUCACAUACACUAGUUUCGACUAUUUCUUCAAUCUAUCUUUCUCCAACAGGAAGCCAAGCUCCCAGGUGCAACAGUAGCAAGCUUGCUGAUGGAGCGAGAUGUGCAAAUAUCCAAUAUUAUCUGUGUUUACUAUGGCAGUCUACUCCCCAAACAUAAAAUACUAAUGUAUCAUAUGAUAAUUUGAACAACAUAAACAAAGAAUAGGUAAAAAAUUAAACCACCUACACUUUUAAUCAUACAAUUAAAAUGAUAAUUAGAAGGAUUUGCAGCCACCACCUACAUAACUUUUCCAAACCUAUCAAAUGAUACAAUUAACGUAAGAUCACACACAGCAGAACAGCACACGCAUAUGCAUCCAUGAUCCUCUAAAUUAGCAAAAUUUGAAUACAGAUUACUUCAUAUCCAAGCAUCAUCGGUUAGAGAAGUUCAAUUAGCAAAACUUGAAUACAGAAAUCCUCGCAAUCUGAGGCAGGCUGACUACAUCGUGAUCAAGUAAUCAUUGAGAUUUCAAAGCUAGAUUGAGAUUUGAUAUGGUAGGACUUAGGCAUAUGAAGUUGUUCAAGUUGUCACCCAUUUCAAUUACACCUCUAUUAUCAUGUUUUCUCUUCUAGUCUUAAGCGAAGUUAACGUGGCAUAUAAGGUAGUCCAAGUUGUAUGUCAUUUCUAUUAUAGCCUCUAAUAUAACGUUUUCUCUCCUAGUUUUAAAAGAGGAUAUCGUCAGCGAAGUUUAUGUCAAAGGCAAUACAAGAGGAGGACAGCAAAUAUUUGAGAUGGCAAGUAGAUGACGUAAGGAGGGACACGAUUAGACAAUCAAAUCUGACAGGUUUUCAAUGCAGAUCAGGAAUACUUGCUUGUCAAAAAAAGAAAGGGCAGAAGCCUGGCAAGACAUCCAACAUAGUUAAACAACAUUUGGAACACGUGUUAUCCAUUCACUGAAACAACAAAGAAUAAAGGAUCAGAUGAUUUACACUCCUUCACGGGAAUAGGACACUCAUUUCUAAGCUGCACAAUUGCUCCAAUUGGACAAGCAGCAUCAGGACAUAUAUGAAGAACAUUCAACAGAUUCAAAAUUAUCCAAAUUUCAAAAAUUAGGAAUCUCAACCAAGGUAACUGUGGAUCAAAAGGGAAAAUUGUAACAAUCUCCAAAAUUCUACUUUAGGCAUAUGGUAUCGCCAUCAACCCUUUGGCGUCUGGUAUUUGAAAAUCAUUAAUCUCGUCCAGCCUAACAAAACAAGGAACCACUAAACAAUUAAUCACUUCAUUGCAAUGCACUAAGACCAGCGCUAAUACACAACUAUCCAACCACUCAAAUCAAAAUGUCACCAUUGUCACUGUCGGAACCAAUACAAUCUUUUGAGGAUGUAGUUAACUCUAGUUUUCUAAACAACUCAUUUGCAAUAUUUCUGUUUUCUUUUCUUAACAAAGUUUUUACAUUUAACUAUGAAAUCCUAUUCGUACAAUCUUCCUCUUAACUACAUCGUUUUCACUUCAAUCGCUGUUUUACCUACUUGCCAAUUUUCCCCAAGUUCUCCCACCUAAAAAUAUCCUCCUAACUACUUAAAAAACCUAGAAAUGUGGGUCAACUUCAAAAAAAGUCAAGAGCUUUUACCAAAAAGGCGAUCACAAUCCAAAUACCUAGUGCACACAAACAAAUACUGCAUACCAAGAAUAAAUAAAUAUUUAAGUUUCUCCCCAAAAAAAAAAAAUGAAUUUUUUUGACAGAUGAGCAGAAAAAAUACCAUACCUGGUCUUUGUGGAGAUCGUCUGACGAAUCACCGGCGAUAGAACCAGCGACGGAUACACCAGCAGACUUCACAUUAGACGACACCGUCUUGAUACAAGACGAAAUAAACUUUAGCGAAUUCGGUACAAAUCCAUUGGUCCGAGGCGAAGUCCCAUUCUUGCCAUGAUGAUGAUUAAUAGCUUUGAUAUUAUUCUGAUUAUUGAUGCUAUUCGAGGCUUUCUUCAUAAUAUAAUCACCGCAGCAAAAUCUUACCGGUCACCGGCACUUCACCGGAACUGAAAAAUAACACUAAAAACACCAACAAGUUUACUUCUCCUCCUCCUACUUCUUUCUUCAGGCCCUUGAGGCCGCCGCCUCCGCCGUCCGAUUCCGCCUCCGCCGUAGACUCCGCCGCUGUCCGCUGACGAGAAUUUAUUACGAUCAGAUUAUUAAAAAGCAUUAAUUUGAAGAAAAAUCGGUGUUCAGAACAGAGAGAGAAAACCGCGGCGAAGAGUUUUUGCGGAUGUUUUUCUUGUUUUUGUUUUAGUUGUUGGUGGUGGUGGUGGUGGGUGGUGGUUUUGACCUCGAGGCUUUAACAAGAAAGGACGUGAGAGACGGUUGCCAUUUUUUUUUUUUCGUUUUUUACUUUUAGCUUUUCUUGUGAAAUGGCCCAUCAAGUCUUUGUAUUCCUACUACUGCCCAACGUUAGUGCUUUACUCUCUUGUGUUUUAUCUCUUUCAUCUUCUCUUUUCUAUGUUGAGGAGUGAAUCUGUAACGUGUUAUAAUUAUAACUAUGGUAAAUUAUUAGUUUUAUUGUUUUUAAGAAAUUCAAAUUCAAAUUCAAAAUAGAUAUAGUGGUGUUUGCAAUAUAUAAUAUGUUAUUACUAGACGAAAGUGUGUUAGAAUAUAACUAUUAUUUAGCUAGAUAAUUAAGGAACAUUAAUCAUUCAAGUUUUUUUUUAUUGGGUGGUAAGUUAUUUGACUCACACGUUGAUAAAAAUGACUACCGUCAAUGAAUAUUCAAACAUACCCCUAUAUUCUAGGAAGGAAACAAAAAGAUCCAAGCUAAUGAUUGUUAUACAAUGAAGGUUUUACAUCUAUUAUUUAAUGACAAAUAAUUCAAUUAGCAUAAAACGCCCUAUGUAUAAUAGAAUAUUUCUUACAAAAAAAAAAACUCAAAUGCUUAAAAGCAAACUAAAUUUCAUUUUAGGUUUCGCCUAAAAUGAUAAUUAAGGUUUCACCUAAGGUGAAAACUCAAAUGGAUAAUUAAGGAACAUUAAUCAUUCAAGUUUUUUUUUUUUUUUUUGAUUGGGGUGGUAAGUUAUUUGACUCACACGUUGAUAAAAAUAACUACCGUCAAUGAAUAUUCGAACAUACCCCUAUAUUCUAGGAAGGAAACAAAAAGAUCCAAGCUAAUGAUUGUUAUACAAUGAAGCUUUUACAUCUAUUACUUAAUUACAAAUAUUUCAAUUAGCAUAUAACGGCGUAUGUAUAAUAGAAUAUUUCUUACAAAAAAAACUCAAAUGCUUAAAAGCAAACUAAAUUUCAUUUUAGGUUUCGGCUAUUAUUUCUACACUACAUGUCUUCCACUAUCAAUUACAAACACUAUUAAAGAAGCAUGUUAUCAUUUUUUGGGUCAUAAAUGGCAUUUUGAGAAUUUUUUAAUGCCAAGCAUACGUAACAUACAAUAUCAACUAUUUUUUUCUUUAUAAUUGUAAAUAAAUGUAAUGUAUGUGGUUUUACAUUUUUAAAUCUUCUGGUUGUUCAAUCUAUGGAUACUUUUGCUACUCAACAAUCAGCCCUUAUUUCUUUUAAAAAUUAUUUAAAAUUAGUAAAAAAAAAAAUUAACAACUUGAUUAUUUUGAUGAUAUGAAGUCGUUCGAUAAUUAAAAAAAAAAGUUAUAGUAGCUUAGUGCACUCGACCAUUUAAUAGUACUGUAUAUGAAUCUUUAUUUGAAGUCGAAUAAGUUCUAUCGCAUGAAAAUUUUACUAGUAAUCUCUAAAUCAUUAUUAACUGUGUUUAGUGAAGAAAUGAUAAUUUUCAUGAAUUGCUUGUACGUUACAAGUCAAACAAAAUCAUCCGGUAUUAAUGGGUCAAUUUUCUAAAUUUAUUAAGGAAAAUUCAAGCUUUGACAACUAAUGGAUUUUCAGUCAAGAAAAGAAUAUGCCAUCAUAAGUAAGAACUGAGAAGUUACCUUGGCCUAGACUUCAAAUUGUCAAAACCAGAGACGUUAGUUAUAUCACACCAAAGGCUGGGGAGGUUUGAAUAUGGGAAAUAAAUAUUUGGGGUCAGAAAUUGAAAGCGUGAGAAAGUUAGGUUACGUCACGACACGGACUGAGAAUAUCUUAAUUUAGAUGCGGAAGCAAACAUGGGAUUUACGGGAGUUCGUAUGCUUACGUUAUACGGAUCAUUUGAUGGAUAAUUGAUAGAAAUUUGAAAGCAUUAAAAAAAAAAAACACCCAAAAUGGAAAAGAAAAGGCAAAUAAUAAUAAUUUUUCUAAGUAUUUUAUACGAGUACAAUGAUAAUUAUACAAUACAAUGUACUAUGUACAGAUGUUGCCAUACUUUGACAUAAUUUAUUUACGUAGUAAAUGCUACCUUAACGGGUCCAUUCCCCAAUCCCGCAAGACACUCAAGCUACAUAAACAAAUGAUUACUCUAAUCAUUUUCUUUUCUUUUGUUUUUGAGGAAAAAAUUUUCAAAUAACUUUAGUUGCUUUAAUCAAUUGCUAAGGGAAAAAAAUGAUCUACAAAUCUCGAAUUCGAGUUUUACUAUGAUAUGUUAUUUUAACUUUAUAUAAAUUAAUUUUACAUUGUUAGUAUAAAAUUAUUUCUUGCACUACCAGGUGUUAGUGUAUGAUACAUAAUUUAUAUUCAAAAUUUAAAAUUUCCUUUUGAAAACAUGCUGCUUGUAGCCAAGUCCAUUGACUUUCAAAAAAAAAAAAGUUCCUAAUAAUAUAGGAAAGAUUGAUCCUAUCUAGAGUUCAUUUUAUUUUUUUUUAAUUUCCAAUUAAUGUCAUUUUUGGGUUAAGAAAGAUAAUGGCUUUUUAUUUUGUGGUUAUCGUAAAAUGAAGAAGUUUAUUCAAAAGCCAAAAUGGGUAUAAAACUAUAAAUUUAGCCAGGCAAAAAGGCUUCUACUUUCUUUUCCAUUUUCUUUUUUUUUUUUGGUGGUUGCAGAUGGAUAAUUUUCCAUAAGAGCCUCUAAAGUCCUAAGUGGUGGUAUGACUUUUAGCAGCUACAUCUUUAGAAAUGUGACAUCUCUAAACACUUCCCCCAUUUUUGGUUGGAAAUCAAUCCCAUGAAUGGGCUAUUUUUUUUUUAUUUCUUUUCAGUUACAUGAAUGGGUGGUCAAUUGAAAAUGAACUUACAAGUUUUAUAGCUUAAGCAUCAUAACAACUAUAUUUUAUAUGACGUUUGAAACUCAAGUCAUGCAUAAUGGAAUUUAAUAGUGAUAGUACCACCAACAUGGUUGUUCUAUUGACUUCAUGAGAACCUAGGCUAUAGAAGUAUUGCUAAAAUCAUCCAUGAUAACUCAUGCAUCCUUUCUGCUAAGCAAAAGUUGAGUAAACAAAGCCUUCAAAGGAAAAUGGUAUCAUCAAAUUGUUUGCCAAUGUAAUAGAUUCACUGCCCGCUUUAGCAUUUGCUAUUUCAGCUCCGACAGCACCAUGAUAUUGCUAUGGUAGAUCAGCUAUGAAUUCGCCCUAUAGAAGUAAGUUGACAUUUUAGUAUGGGUUUUGCAAAAGAUUGUUUGGGAAACAUGGCCAAGGGAUGAAUAACAAUCUAUCAUUUGCUUGGUCAAAAAUAACCAUCAUUGCUAAUUAUCCAUUAUCCACUCCUUGAUCUCCAUAUAAGAUAUUAUGGUUUGGGAUCCUCUUCUAUUGUUAGUGACAAUUACAUUAAAUAAUAUAAGAAUAACAUAAUAAAUAUAAACACGAAGAUAUUAAUACGCAAAAAUUGUAUUAGUGUUUAUGUACGAGUAAGAAACUCUCGAGGUCAAAUUGUUUGAGCCGAACUUCUUACCUGCGGACACAAAGAGAUGAAAGCGGCAAAAGAGUUAAGGCCCAUCCCCCAGGGUAACUCCAUUGCCUAAGUUAGAGGGCGAGGAAAGGUUGGAGUUCGGGAAUUAAAAGAGCUAAAAGGUGGAUAAUUGUGUGUUACCUUUGAGGGUGAAAAUGGUUGUAUCUAUAGCCCAAGGAAUGAGUAUGGAUUUCGAGAAAUCGAGAUGCAUUAUUGACAUUGCGAGGAGUAAUAGAUUGAUUAAGCACGUGAUUUUUUGCUGCAGUCAUAUCAGGCGACAGAAUAUUACAUCAACCACAGUUUGAUUAAAGGCACAAAUCGGUUAUGUCGAGUUUUCAGGAAUGUCACACUAUCGUAGUAUAAAGUAUUGUUAGCCGAGGCGGUGGCUUGGAAUCCCACGACCUACAUUCCAAGUUAACAUUUUUACACGUUAAUGCUUAUAGUUUUCAUGUUGUUGUUAUUAGUGUAUACCGUAUAUGGAGUACAUACUUUGCAUUAGUAUAUAUUGUAUGCUGUAAUUGUCACCGCAAUUGCAAAACCCUUGGUGCCAUAUAAAUAGAGGCUAAUGUGAGUGACAUCUGAGCAAAAAUCACUCCUUUUUUAAUUCAUCGUACAAAUUGCCAACCUAAAAUACUGUGGCAUUAUUGGACAAGCCAUCAAGUUGAAACAAUUGACUGUCGUCAUCUGGAUUAGAGAUAGCAAUCAGUGAAAUUCAUUGGCUUUUGAUCAACUAGUUAUUUUAAAAAAAAAGGCAUUAUAAUAUAGGAAUAUAAAAUGAGUAAAUCUUAUAUAUACUGACAGUAUAUUACUGUUGAAUGCGUGAUAUAUAGGACUAUAGGAAUAUAAAAUGAGUAAAUCUUAUAUACACUGACAGUAUAUAUAUAUGAGCAAAGUUUGGAAUUCAAAUUUAAAUUCUGAUAAGUUGUGAUGUAUUCAAUGAUGAUGGUGUUUAUAUACUGUCUGUCUGUCGGUGUAUAAAAUAUCAAUUAGUUCAUGUAAAAUUCCAAGAAUUCAACAACAAUAAACUAACAAUUAAUGAUUCUGUCAUGGAUCUGCAGGCUUCCAGCGUGUGGGAGAUGGAGUUAGUAUGUGGAUAUCCUUAUCGAAUGAUCCUUCGGAAAGAGACAGCUAGUGGGCUUAGAACAUGAUCGACAGGAAGAAACAAACAAUCUUUGAUAUCACAGCUAUUUUGUUUCCUCCUGCGGCUUUUUGGUUUGGACUGAAAUUGCAAAUUGAUGUUGUACCUAUGCAGACCAAUUCAUUGCAAAAAAAGGCAAACGCAUAUUCAUCCACUUCUCAUCAAAGAAAAGACAGGAUCAACAAGUUAUGAAUAGUGGGAAAUUCUUUAACAGUGUCAAGCUUCAAGAGAUCCACUGUUGGUUUUCUCAGAAAUAAAGCCAAAACACUUGUUCUUCUACCAUUUUUUUUCUUCAAAAUUUAGGUGAUAAAACCCUAGUAAUAUAAUCAACAAUGAUAUAAAUCCAUCAUUUUUCGAUAUGUAUAUGUGCUUCUAUGUGGGCAUACAUGAAUCUAUACAUGAGGCAAUCAAAUAUUUCAACAGAUUUUCUUCAAUUUUUUUUGUUUUCCAAUUACAGCAGUUCCACAAUUUUCUAAAGAAUGUGUUAAUCUGCAUGUGAAAAAAAGAAAGAAGAAAAAAGUUGCAAUUGCAUGCAUUUUUUUUUCUUUUUUGAUGGUUCAAUUGUAUGAAUAUUGUACCCGAAUCAAUCGUUCUCCCAGAAUAUGUUUUUGAGAGCCCAAUGGUUUCUUACUUUACGCCAAUUCCCAUCAUUCAAUAGAUUUGUCAAAACGUAGACAGUAAAAGGUCUUCAAAUUGAAGGCUUACACUUAAAUAGGGUUUCUUAUUUCCUGUUCCCUUCUUGACUUUUUUCUAAAUAUGUAGAAUCAGGAUAAAUUUUUAAUGCUAACUGACAAAAUUUUAGGCAAUGCGUGGGGACUAAUGAAUUUAAGAUAAUUAAAUUUAAAAGUUGUGAUAAUAAUUUUUUAACUUAAGAAGGGAAUUGCAUAUAUAUAUAUAUAUAUAUAUGAAACAUCAGAGGAAAUGUGAAAAUAUCAUAAGUUGUUUUAUUGAUCAUAUUCUUUUACGCCAAAUCUUCUGAUUUUGUUGAAUCCCUCUCGAAUUCUCCCCCUGCUUUUGUCAAUCAUUUUCUAAAGAACGUGUUAAUCUGCAUGUGAAAAAAAGAAAGAAGAAAAAAGUUGCAAUUGCAUGCAUUUUUUUUCCUUUUUUGAUGGUUCAAUUGUAUGAAUAUUGUACCCGAAUCCCUCUCGAGUUCUCCCCCUGCUUUUGUCAAUCAUUUACUGUUGGACGAUUUCCAGCAAUCUUAGUAAUGAAAAUUCUCUUUUUAUCAAAGAGAAUGAAAAGUAAAAAAAUAAAAAGACAGCUUGGCAUCCCCAAGUGAUUUUUUCACCAUAGAUAUGAAUAUGAUGCAUGAAGAUGACCAAAGAAUAAGACAAAUAAUCUUUUUACUGCAGUUGCGGAGUAAUUAAAAAACCCUGAGCACACUUAAGCACUGAAACUAAACAAUGGAAUGAGAAAAAUGGAACUCCACCAGCUCCAAGAAUGAAGCUAUAGCAACCAAUAUGAAACUACUAAAGAAGUUGUCAAAGUUUCAAAGCAAAAACAAAUUAAAGUCUGAAAUCAUGUGGUCAUCUUGAAGUUCGGCCAUUUAUUUGGUUCCUAUCUUUUUCGUAAUAGGGCUACCAAAAUUAGCUGAAUUCAUUGCCUAAUCUUAAAGCAAGAAUCAAUGCAUCUAAAGACUUAAGCAUAUUAAAGCAAGAACAGAAAGUCAUAAUCUAUUCAUAGUCCAAUAUUAUGGAGGAAGAUUGGAUGAUUUGUGAUGGUUUUAUUAGUGCUAGUUUGGUACCAAAUUAGCACAAAGUGGCUAUAGAAAAUUAGCCCCUAUUCUUCUUGAGAAUAUUUCAAGACGUAGUGAAGAAGAUUAAAGGGAUUUAGAAUAAAAAAUGGUCGCCAUUGUACUGUUUUAAAAUUAUCAUUUCUAAUCUUGGAUCUGGCAGUUUUGGUAGUGAAGACUGAACUAUUUAAUAGGUUUUGGUCUUAGCCUCUUAGCACCUUUGGAUUUCGCAUUGCUGAAAGCUUUCUCCCUCCUUUCGUUUUAACAGUAUGAAAACAAGAAAAACGAUUUCCAAGAGGGCCAAAAUCUUGGGGCACAAUAAUGUGCUGAGAUCUUGUUAGAAGUUUGACUGCGAAUACUGAAGUUGCUUGUCAAAUGUCAAAAUUAGAAAACCACGUUUUUUAAACACUUAAACAAAAUUUACCCACAUAAUUAGCCAAAUAAUAUCACUUAAACAAGUCCUUGUCUAAUCUCCCCUCCCCACCAACCUAGAAAAUCAUUUGUCUCUUCCCUUCAUUAAAAGGCAUUGGCAUUGACUAUGAGCCAGCUUUUAAACACACACACACACACACAUAUAUAUAUAUAUAUUAACAAUUAAGCUUCAUAAUCCAAAAUAUUUGUGCACCCAGAAAAAGUGGAAUCUAAUCAUUGAACAACUUUUACAUGAAAAAGAGAUUGAGGGCUAUCCUUGUGGGUUUUUAAAAAAAAGCCUAUUGUAAUUCUUAGCUAAUGAAUUCUCAUUUCCUCCACUUGCCAAUCCCGGAAAAAGUUUACAACUAGAAGAUGCCUUUCCAUACACUUUCCUCAAUCAGCUGAAACAUGUUAACCAACUAACUCUAGAGUAGCUGACUAUCAGGGAGAGGUUUAAGGUUCUCAUUGGGUGUAGGUCAAGGGAUUCUUCUCCAGGAUUUCCUGAACAAAUUCACCAAUGACGGUUCAAUCCCUCUAAGUUUCUUAUUAAUCCCCUUGAAUUCACUUCUUUCCCUUAGUGUAGAGUAGGAGUAGAAGUAGGCGUAAAAUCUAUCGUGUCGCCCAAAAAAAAAAAAAAAUCAACUGAAACAUGUUGAAACUUUUGCCUACUUGUUAAACAAGUUAACAAGGAUCGUGAAGGACCAGUUUCAGAACUAGGCAUCAUGAAGUACUAGAUUCUCACAUGAGACUUUGCCUAGAGUUCACUAAAAUUCCACUUGUUGAGCAAACUUGGAACAAGUAUAGCCAUCUGAGUUUUGGAUGGCCAAAGGGAUCCAGUAGCUCAGUACAAAUUCCUAGUUGUUGCCAGAAGAUACUUAGAUCAGCCCUGCCAGAAGAUGCUUGGAUCAUCCCUGCUUACUGCAUCUGAUUUGCUCAGUGCAAUGCAGCCGCUAAUCAGGUACUCGAUCAGGGCCUAGAUAAUCUCAUCAACUUGGACAGACUGUUUUAUUUAUGUGCAAGGCCACAAACCAUUUAGAAAAAAGCCUACCAUUUUCACAAAUUUUAGAAUUGGCUCUAGAGGCAGAAAAUGACUGACACUAAAGAUUCAAGAAGAAGACUUCAACCUGACUAUUGAAGUUGCUGUUUCAGGGGUUCUAAGCAGGAAAACAGCUACAUCAGACAUGCACGUCAAAAAAAGCGUAUUUACGGAUCAUCAAAUUUUAUAUGAACAGGAAUGUUUCUUAGUGCAGUUUGAAUAACAAAGUUUACAUGGCAUUUGAGUAAUAUUUGCUCCAAAACCUUGGUGCUUUCAACUGCCACAUAACAAAAACUCCAAUUCUGCAGGUUUACUAAGUAUAAACACCCACCAGAAAAUUUCCAAACUGCAGCAAAGGCUAUAUACAACAAAAUGGUAUGGGCCAUACAUUUGUCUCAAGUCUCAAGAAUUCAGAGCAGUUUGCGUAAGUUGAUUCACAUCACUUAAACACUUGGUUGAGUUGUAUUCAUCUGCGUCCAAUAGUUCUUCUGAGUAUGUCCUCCGCAGACAUCGAUCAUGUUUUUCCAUCAGAGAUGCUAAGGAGUUAACAUUACCUCUCAGCAGUGUUACCACCUGCGAAAAUUGAAAUAUAUAUUACUCGGGCAGUGGCCAGAUUGAUCUUUCUUAAAAUUUACUUAGUACUGCUUUGGACGUAUUUAGUGCAUUUCAAAGUGGUCUGAGGAUAUAGACUGACGUGUUCUAAAAGAAAAGAGAUAUAAGGAAAGAAAACCUAUUCAGUAGCAUGCCAUGAAAGUUUGCUAUAAACUAAUAUGAAGAACUAUAUAUCAAGGAUGCCAUGUUGCUGAUGUUAAUUUCUUCAUAUGAUCAAACUAGUAAAAGAAAUUAAAGCGUGUUGACAAAUUCACAGGUGCUAGCUUCCACCCUUCCCAAAAUACAGCUCAACAAAGAAGAAUUGGAAACAUUGAUCAUAUACACAAGCAAAGAAGAUGAAAUUAUCGUGAUUAUGCUUCAUUUCAUAAAGACAAGAACGCAAUUCCUUGACGUUUACCAUUCAUACAUCUGAUAACGCACAUUGGCAUUUUAGCAUUAUGCUUUACCUUGUCCACAUGAAAUACAUCAUAAUUCAUAAUUCCAAUUUGCAAUCUGGAUCCAAUAAGAAGUUGCCAUACAUGAAUGCCCUCAGAUAUUUCUUCCCAUUUUGGUCGUUCAGAACCAUUUUCCUUUUCCAAGUCUCUACUUGUUUAUUGAUGAGAAAAAGCCAUAUGCAUAACUUGCACAUCUUUUUGCUGAAAAGAAGAAACUGAUAAAAGAAGCUCUACUACUUGAACUUAGGGCAGGCAUAAACCUCUUCUGAUGAAAGACAUAUAAUAUAUGAAUCUCAUAUAGCUUUGUUGGAUUGACUCAUACGUAAUCUUCUUUUUCUUAGCUAUACUGCAAAUAUAAUAGUCAAAAACCUGUAAUUUUACCAUGGACUUUGCUUAUACAUAGAAAAUUUUCAUCUGCAGACCCACAUUUUGCAAGUUAUCGUUUAUAAUGUGAGGUUUAUUUCUACACAAUAAGCUUACAGAGAGCACCAAAAGAGUGAUGUUAUGGUGACAUGUUUGAAUAACAGAUCAACAAAGAUGCCCAAGGUUAAGACAUACCAAACAUUCAUUACUUUCUAUCAUGGCUGAUUUGAGCAAGUAAUUUUACAAGCAAAACUGCAUUUUCAAACGUUUCAGUGGAGGAACACAAUAUUAGUUUGACGAAAGACUACUUGCCUUCCUCAUUUGAGGCCGCUCAAUGGGAUUCUGUUCUAUGCAUGAAGUUGCUGUCAGAAUGACACGAUCCAUCUCUUCUGGAUUGUACUCAUUACCAAGAGAAGGAUCGACAAGCUCACUAAGAUUGUUGUUUUCAAGCAAUGGCUUUGCCUGCAUUUAGAAAAACAUAAUAAAUGCAAAAGAUUAACAUGAAUAAAUGUCCUCUACCAUAACAAAUUUACAUGAUAAUACCCAAAGCACAAGGCUAUUCUGUGAUUCAUCCAGGGCUUUGCGUCCUGUUAUGAGCUCCAAAAGCAGCACUCCGAAAGCAAAUACGUCAGUUUUCUCAUCCACAAUGCCAUUCAUAUAGUACUCUGGAGCAAAAUAACUGCCAACAAUAAAUAAGAGCAUAAGUUACUGUGCCCUUUCAUACUCAAGAUGUGAUUAACUGUUCAAAAAGCCCUUAAUUUUAGACUUCAGAGCUUACAGACCCAAAUGUUCCUUCGAACUUUGAUACAUUGCAAUGAGUCCACUGAUUUGGAAGCCAUUUUGCUAGCCCAAAAUCACAAAUCUAGAGUGAAAAUGGCUGAGUUAGUCAUUUAAAUAUUGAGUUCUAAAUAAAGAAAAGACAAAUAUAGUAAAUGAUUAGUGAGUUUGGAAGCAGGCUAUGGAAACAAACUAGUCUUAUUCUAAUUUUUUAAAAUCAGAUGAUACGGUGACAAGUAAAGAAGGGUUUCCAAACGGGUUGCAUAUAUAUACAAUGAAGAGAGCAGAACGGUUGUUAAUUGCAUUUUAGUCAUGGUUAAACACAAUGGUGAUAAGAAUUAAAACCAAAACUCUGAAAAAUGGAGCCAUAUCAGAUUUAAUAUCUAAUAGUGGGUCAAACUAAAAAGCACUUCCAGAUUUAAAGGAGAAAGAAUAUGACUGGGAUAUGCUGGAGGGAGGCAUAGGUAGGCAAUUUCUACUUGUUUUUGAAUUUAGACAUAGUUGUACAGACAACGAAACUAUGCCAACCCCAGAACUUAGGAACUAGGUGAUUACUUAGCAUAAAGGAAUCAAAGUCCAAAAAGCUCCAGGUGAUUUCAGGGAGGUUUUUAACAGACUCUUUAGACUUUUAUGAUUGUUAAGUAAUGGACUUAUAAGGAGAAUUUUAAAAAUUGGAAAGUGAAAAUUAAAUAGGCUCAUAAAAGCAUAAUCCAAAUGGAAAGGCCUAUGAGGCAUAAAAUGGUAGUGUUCUGAAAAUUGACUUUAUACAAGGAAAGACUUUCUUAUCACACUAGUUUCAUAUGUUCAAGUAUAGCUGUGCAGAUAGAGUGGCCUAAAAGGUACUCCUUUCCUGAAAAAAUGGCUACUUGGACUUCUACAUCAUGCCAUUUAGCAAAUCAAAGUAGCUUGCAUGGUGCCAAAAAUGUAGGAAAGUUGAGGGUUUCCUGUGGAAGGGAGAUGCUUAGAAAUGAGAAAAGCUGAAAAAUGGUAAGAUUCCAAUAAAAAAGCAAUUCACUUGAUGUGGUGAACUCUUUUGGUUCAAGAACUCCUGAAACUAAAAUUACUAAACGCAUAUGAUUUUCUAAGUGUAUCUCCAUUCACCCAAAUGGUUUCUCUAAUUAUCCCAUGAAGGAGGGAGAUUCAUCGUAAGAUACACAAUUCUACUGUUUGUAAGAGAAACUUUAUCUUUAGAUACUCCAAAAACUUAUACUAGUUGACAUGAAAGCAAGGUAUUGCACGGAGAUAAGGAUAUUUUCGAAGUGAUUCUAAAACCUUUCUUUAAGCUGUCAAUCCCCAAUACAGCAACAGCUCCUAAGGUCUUCCCGUCCAAAGAGUGCAGAGGAGUAUGCCAAGAUUAGACGAGUAACAACCCUUCGACCAUGCACUAUUUGAUGAAAUAAAGAAACAUAAAUUUGAUACGUGGUUGCAAGAAUGAACUCCACUGGACAAAUUAAAAGAAGCAGUAUCUUCAGACCUUUACAUACAUUAUUCAACAAUGCACGGACCAAACCCUGACUGUCUACACAAUGCAUGAAAGUCAGCAGCCGAAGGUAGGUACUAUUUUACAAUCCUAAAGGAUUGUACAUGACAAAUAUCAAGAAAAAACAAAAGUAAUUAAGGCAUUGGUGAAUAUGAUAGUUCUUAGCACAGAAGAUCCGCAAACAGGGAAAACCAAAUCAAGAAUUAAGACACAUCCCAUCUUAGAAUCUGCCAAUAGAAAAAACAAUUUAAAGCGUGAAGUCCAUGAUAUCGGAUUAAAGUAUCAUAUUGAACACCCUAAUCAAAUGGGGAUCCAAAUAAACCUUGAAACCAUGUUUUCUGAGCUACAAGAGGAGUCCUCUUUAGAAGUGUUCAAACCAUGUUCGUUCCACAGGUAUGAAGCACUGAACCAGGUAAGAUAAUGAGGAGAAGCAGAUGUUUGUGAUAAUGAUGAUCGUAAACAGUAGAUGAUAGAAAGAGAAAUUGAUGCCUUGAUCAUUUGGUAAUUUGAAUUUUUAUUCUUCUAUUGCUUUACAAGAUGAUGAUCUAAACUUUACUAUUAAUAUUUGUUUGACUACAUUUAUUGCCAGAUAUCCUCAGGCUAUAGAAUUGACCACAACUAAGCAAAUUAGGAGAAAAUAAAAGCUUCAUAUAUGCUUGCAUAACAUCAAGCAAACUUGCCUAUUCUAACAUCACUUAUGCGACUGGUUGGAUUUCAAUACUAGCAACUAAAAUCAUAUCAGUGCUUCUGCUAUUUAGCAGGUUGCUAGCGUAUAUCAAUGUAAUUUUGAAGUUCACCGCUACAGAUAUAUUCAUAUCUCAUGUUAGCCACACUUAGUGUGCUAGUGAAAGCAUCAGUUGAAGUUUCCUAAACUUCCAACUCUUUGAUCAUCUGUUAUGGAAAGCUGUGUUGACCAUUAUAAUCAAUCAGAAACAUCCAGAGCAAGGUAGUAUAAAUUAAGAUUAUCAACUGGCAUCAAACAUGGUAAGUUAAUCAGAAUUCCUCAAGAUCACAACAGAUAUGCUAAUCAAUUGUGCUUGCUUCCUCAGCCCAUUGCUUGGCUCCUGAAGGGUGACGCUUAACUCACGUAUUUGUGUAAUAAGCCAGAUUAGUUGGACUUAUUUCGUACAUUAGAACUAAAUAAAAGAAGACAACCCUAUAGUACUCUGAAGUUAUCUCAGUCUAUCUGCAAGUUCAGAAGUAGAAAUGUACCUGAGGCUCAAAAUCCUCUGUAAGCAGGAUAUUAUCAGCUUUGAUAUCUCUGUGGAUAAUUCUUCUUUGACAGUUUUCAUGAAGAUAAAGUAAGCCAUCAGCUGUGCCCAGAAUGAUCUUAUGCCUAAUACCCCAAUUUAACUUUUCCUUUGAGCCUGGAAAAAAAAUUAAUAAAUGGAUGAGAAACCUUAGGAGCAUAUGGGAACUAAAAAGUAAGUAAAGAAAAUUUACGAACCAUGAAGCAGCGAUCCUAAACUCCCUUGAGAAGAUAGCUGAAGAACAAGGUAAGUACCUCCUUCAACUCCAUACCCAAUCAUCUUAGCAGUAUUAGGAUGAUUGACAUGUGCUAUGAUGCCAACCUCAGACAGGAAACUUAUUAUCUGCUCCUCCGGUGUUCCCUUGUUAAGCUGUUUGAUUGCUACUAGCUGCCCAUCUGGCAAACAUCCCUUGUAAACUUCAGCAUAUCCACCCUUUCCAAUCAGAUUCUCUACAUAGAAACAUUAUUUUACUUAAAGACCAUUAGACUUACAAUUUGUAAUAAUUAUUUUAGUGACAUAUUACAAUGAACAGUAAUUAGUAAAGCAGAAAGAGAACUUUUGUGUUAAAGUAAAAAAACAACUCCGCAUGUAUAUUAGAAAAAAAAAAAAAAAAAAGUGGAGACCUCGGCUAAAGCUAUUAGUUGCCUUCUGGAGGUCUGCCAGAUUGAAGUUUUUCCAUUCAGACUUGACAGGGCAGCAAUCAUUAUCUACAUGGUCUCUUAAAGUUCUGCUCCUUCUUCGCGAAGCUAAAGGAGGGAAAGAAGGCAAUCUCUUUAUUGUACUCUUUUUCCAGAGUUCAAAGAAUUUGUGCCAGCGAGAACUCAUGCUUGAAUUUGAUUUAGAAGCUGUGCACCUAGUCCUGGGAGAACCUGAUUCAUUGUCCAAAUCUGUAACACAUGCUUCUAAAACUCCUCUUGGAGAACUCUCAUCAUUGUUUUCCCCAUCCAUCUCAAAACGUCUCAAGUCUACAGAAAAGACCAAUGACCAGCAAUUAACAAAUGCUAGAUGGACACACUAUGACGAAGAAUGAUUGACUUGAUUUGAUUGUACAACAAGGAGUAGACAAAACCAUGCUACCUUGAGCAGAAGCUGAAGGAAAGAGACAUGUGAAUUUUCCUGCCAUGGAACCUUUGCGCUCUAAGGCACUCUCCAGUGUGGUGCUAGGAUCCUCACCACUUUUCCUGCAUAAGCGCCGCCAAGAAAUAAAUUACCUAAGAUAAAAAGUAUAGAUUUCCAGUUUUCUAAGAGCAUAACACAUGUAAUUUUGCUUCUGUAAUGGGACUAGUAGCUUCACAUUUCAGAAAGAAAAGUAAAUCAAAAGGAAAUAUUCCAUGAAACCAUGUCUAUAGUAGAGGUGAAAGAUGACAUAAUAGGUUUCAAAUAAUGGAAAAUUACCAUGUCUAUUGGGAAAGAAAUAAUAGGUUUCAAAUAAUAGAAAAUCCUAUACCCACUCAGAACCUGAGAAAAGAAACGCACUGACUUCCAAUUUUGGCUUCGUCAAAGUCACAGACUGUCUAAAAGGAAUUGCUGAUACCAUAAGAAAAAAAUUUGGAAGGCACAUCGGCUUAAACAGAGGUUCCAAAAUGAAUUUGUCAGGACCUCCAAAGUUCUUGUUCUUCUCCUUUGGAAAGAAAUCCAGAACCAUUCAUGUUAACAGAGAAUCAUAAAUGAGUAAAAAAUUACUGAAUUCAUAAUUGAAGUUAGUAUUAAACACUGAUAAAGAUCCCAAAUGACUUCAUAGACAUUCUAAACCAAAAUAAAAAGAAAAAACUCAUAAAUCUUGUCCAGCUGCAAAGUUCUUAAAAGUGACAAACACAAAACACACACACACACACACACAGAGAUAACAUCACAGAAGAUCUUGAAAAACUCACUCCAAUGUUUCUGAGAGUCAACAAAUUCAUAAAACCGACUCCUUACCAACUCGAAAACUCUUCUGCAUUUAUGCUUGUGUGGGUGGUACACUCACAAAGACAUUACAGACAUAGGACAAAUUCUCAUUAAUGCAGCAAAAAAUUUCCCAAGAAACAGAAGCAAAUAAGAUAAUACUAAAAUGUGCGAAAAACAAAGGCCUAACUGAAAAUGCACCGGAUUAUAUAUAUCCAAACCAUUCCAACACACAAUACAAAUUGCAGUAAAUGUAUCCAAACCAUUCCAACACAAACAUACAAACUGCACUAAAUAUAUCCAUACCAUUCCAACACAGAAUACAAAUUGCACUAAAAUACCUUGCAGCAAACUAGGUAACAAUAGCCAAUGUCCUAGAAUACCAAAAAAAACCCCCCAAGAAAUUAACAAAAUCCCAGAAAGAUGGAAUUAAAGGGCUACUUACAAUUGUGGACGAGGAGGCAGCAGUCCAGGGGCUAGAAUAUAAUUAAUCAUGAAUCCACAGGCGACUGAAAAAUGUGCUAUUGAUAAACAUAAGUGUGAAACAUAUAAUUUACAGUGAGAUACAAAAAGGGUUCAUUUAUUAUGUGUUUUCAACUUGAAAAAACAGAAUCCAAAACGAUUCUCUCUUCUUCUUCUUCUUCUCAUGUAACAGCAGUACCAUCCCAGCAUUGCAUACAUCUUAUACUAUCAAGAUUCUUUUGCAUUU
rnacentral:lncRNA from 1 species